rnacentral:lncRNA from 1 species
UAUACAUGCUUGCUAGACUUUGAGCCACACAUUUACUUUUUACUGCUUAUGAGCAUUGAGUGUGGUCAAGCUGUGUAGACCCUUAGGAGCUUGUCAUGCGGUUAAAAUCAAGAUUCACUUGCACGUUCACUCACACAUGCUGCUUCUACUCCGAAAGUACGCAUCCACAUAUAUCCACUCAUUUCCAUCUCUAGAGCCACCUAAAAGUAUUCUACUCCUAAUCCGGGAGAGAAUAGCCAAAAACAUUCACCUGAGACAUGGCAAGUGCGCGGAACCUCGAAGAAAAGAAAAAGUGAGACGAGAGGUAAAAAAAGAGAAAGAAAGAGAGAAAGAAUACGAGGAAAUAAAAAGGGGCAAGUGCGCGGAACCUCGAAGAAAAGAAAAAGUGAGACGAGAGGUAAAAAUGGACAAGUGUCCGACAGUAGAAUUAGGGGUACAAGAUACCCACCUGAGAGGAAAGAAAAAUAAAAUGUAGAGCAUCUCAUUCUCCUCAAAAAGUUUCAAAAGGGCAAGAAAGGUAUGUAUCCAUUUAAAAGAGGAAAAUUAGAAUUAGACUUUCACCAUUGUUAUCACCAUCAUCACCAUACACUAUUCACUCGCCACACAUGCACAUCUUGAUUUGACUUAUUGAGUUGUUCUUCUGGAUCCAUGGUUUGACUAUGCAAUAAAUGUCUUGUAAGUAUGUAUUAUCUGUCUCCCACCUAUGAGCUCUAGAAAUCAAAACCUUAUUAGAGUAGGGUGAGAGAGAAGGCAAUAUCACUAUGCAUCAUACCAAAAAUACCACAUACUUUGAGAAAAGGCAUAUACCAUUACUGCCUUGGAAAGGAUCCAGAAAUACCACAAAAGAGAGAUUUGAGAGAGUCAUACAAGGAAUCUCUGAGUUUUAUUUGAAAAUCUGCAGAAACUCCAGAGCUAUAGUUAAUCAAAGAACAAGAGACAUGGCGCUUGACUUGACCGUUUUAUGUUUUAACUGCUCAAGACACAAGUGACGGUUGCAAGCCCGAUGGUGAAAGGUAAAAUGAGUAAGUUUUAAGUCUUAACAGUUUACUCUAACUCAGAGAUGAGAUCUUGCUUGAACGCAUGUGUGCUUCUAAGGCAUGAAACCACUGCAGAAACUCUUGAGUCCAUCCUUGCUCAGGGACGAGCAAGAGGUAGCUUGGGCGAGUUGUUGACGGUCCUUAACUACCAAAUAUAAUCAUCAAAUAUAUAAAGAAAAGGAUCCAAAUGGAACCAACACCUAGACUUAGGGUUUUAUCUGACAGAAUUCCACCAGUUUUGGUGUUUGUCUAUUUCUGCAGGGGGUUAUGAGGAAAUAUGGAGGAAAGGCCCACAUGUCGGGUUUAUAUAGAGAUAUUAACGUGCCGCGUAAUUUUCUAUCAUCUAGAAAAGUCCAGAAGGCACGGGAACGAACGGGAGGCCGAACGGGCCCGGGGGCAGGCGCCCACCCUCCCCCUUGGGCACCCGCCCUAGUACAAGCACCAAUCACAGAAUGGAGUACACCAUUACAAAGAUCUCAUCGAGUUGAUCAAAAUGCAUAUAUUAUUUUCUAUAUUUGGAGUUCGGAAUCAAGAGAUAUUAAUAAAAGAAUGACUCCACAUAAAAGAGCUACGGGAUUAAUUGGGCCCAAAUGAGAUUUUGGUCCAUUAAGGCCUAUGUGCAUUUUAAUGAGAUAUGGUGGAAAGUUUAGUACUACAUCGCCUGCUGAACCAAAAAGGCAUAAAAGGAGGAGGCUAUAUAAGCAAGGUCCCUGGCCCCUGGUGGAGAACACAUCAUUAUAGAGUUGAGAGGUGCCCUCGAAUGAUAACCUUUCCUCUAUAUAGAAUUAGGGCUUAGCAUCCAAUGUGAGAUUUGAAUUAGUUCUUCUAUGUUCUUCUAGAUUAAGAGAGAUAGAGUGGAGGUGUAAAUCGGAGGAAGUUUGGAUUGUCGGUGUCUACUCCGAGGUUGUACCUGUGGGAUCAAGUCUCCUAACCCGAGGCUUGCUCCUAGGAUUCCUCAAUAUUUCAACUUCUAAAUUCUAGUAAGUUCUUGUUCAUAUUGUUCAUUGGUUUAUGAGUUUACUUUAAUCUCUUUCGGUAGAGUUUAGAGUAAUCAUUGCUAGCGUAAACGUGGUGUUUGGGCUAGGGUACUCAUAGAUAUCCCCUGUCUAGCUGGACCGUGGUAGUAGCAAGGAAUGUGACAUUUCCGAGUUACCUUUGUAGCCCACAUCCCGUUAGAAGGAUCGAUAGGGUUUAUAGGUGCGGGUCGAACAUCCUUUGUGGUGUCUAGAUUCCGUGAGCCUCCCCAAUAGAAUAGUAGAUCAUCCUUACCAAGGUUAGAACGAGAGUGCGGUUGUAGUCUUCUCUAUACAUCCCUCACAUCGAAUCACAUUGUUUGUAGCCUAAAGGGUAGUAGCAAUAGAUUUGGUUAGUCAGAUGCAUGCUUUCUCCUAGUGGUAAAAAUAUAAAUACGAUACUCUGGAUAACCUCCCGGAUGAAAUGCUCACCGAUAUCCGUGCGCUUGCGGAUCAUUUCCUGAUGGCAUUGUUGGGCAUUCUUAACGUCACUACCAAAAGUAGACUUAGUUCUCUAAUUCUGAUAACGGCGCCAAAAAUGCCAAAGCUAAGUUGUCAUCCCCAGCAUGUCAUGAAAGACGCGGUAUUGAAAUAUGCAAUUGCUCUUCUAAAUAAAUAACAAAUAAGAUCUACAAGCGCACAAAUUAAUACCGAUGUAGCAUUUUAACCGAGAAGUAUUUUAGGUAUCGUUAUUUAUAUUUUUACCACUGGGAAGGGAUUGCUAAACAUCAAUGUUGAUUAUAGAAUGGAAUAUAGAAUUGAGUAUCUAUCAUUGCAUGUAUAAUUGAGAGCAUUUAUCUAUCUCUUUCAUACAGGGAUAAGUGUCACAUAAAGGAUAUAUAUAAAGUAAUGAAUGGUGACAAAGAUAAUUAAUCGGAUCACCAUAACUUAGCCACAUAUAAAUAUGAUAAGCACCUCAAUUAGAUAUUCUAGCAAGUCAUUAGCAUGGAAUUAGGACGAACUACAAGAAUAUUUCCUAAGUUAUUCUCAAAUAUACAGUCUAGCAUAUCAUAGUUAGUGCAAUUAUACUUAGCAAUCAUUGCGAGACAGGACUACGCCCAUGCAUAGUGAUAUUAUCAAGGAAUAUGAGAAACAUCGCAAAAACUCCCCUGUAAUAAUGUUGCUCUGCCAGCCCUAUACACGAGAGGGGGACUAUAUAAAAAUCAAUGGAGCUGUCACUACCACGAUGAAUAAUGAAUUAGGGUUGAGAGGUGCUCUCCUCCAAGGGCCAGGGGGUCUGGUUAUAUAGUCCUUCCAAGCGAAUAUGGACCGUCAGAUCAAACCGACAUUAAUCGCACGGUUUUCCUUGAUCCUUUAGGUCGGUGGAGCAUGAUCCGCAAAGUUGAAGCUGAUUGGUGGAGAGGCCAGUGCGGGUGCCCAAGGGGGUAGGGCGGGUGCCCUGCCCCCGAGGCCAUCCGGUCUCCCGUUCGUUCAUGUGGCUUCUGGACUCUUCUAGAUGUAAGAUAAUUGCGCGGCACGUUAAUAUCUCUAUGUAAACCCGACGUGUGGGCCUUUCUUCCGUAUUUUUCUGAUAACCCUCUGCAGAAAUAGACAAACACCAAAACUCGUGGAAUUCUGUCAAAUAAAAUGCUAAGUCUGAAUGUCGGUUACAUUUGGAUCCUUUUCUUUGUUUAUUUGAUAAUUAAAUUUGAUACUUAAGGACCGUCAACAAACUCCCCCAAGCUUACCUCUCGUCUCACCUUUUUUUUCUUCGAGGUUCCGGGCACUUGCCCCUUUUUAUUUCCUCAUAUAUAUUUUUUUAGAGCACUGAUCUCCUGAAAUAAUAUAGCAAGUGAUAGUAACCAAGAUAACUUGAGCAUUUAUUUCACAGGGGAAACAGGAAUGUUUUUGGCCAUUCUCUACCGGAUUAGGAGUAGAAUGUUUUUGGGUGGUUUCUGAAGAUGAAAAUGGGUGGAUAUAUGUGGAUGCGUACUUCUGGAGUAGAAGCAGCAUGUAUGAGUGAACGUGCAAGUGAAUCUUGAUUUUAACCACAUGACAAGCUCCUAAGGGUCUACACAACUUGACCACACUCGAUGCUCAUAAGCAGUAAAAAAGUAAAUGUGUGGCUCAAAGUCUAGCAAGCAUGUAUGUAUGGCUGUGGUAGGAAUUUAAACUCUCAUCAUACAGGAACUCAUCAUGUAAUAUUUUAAAGAUUUUAAAAAAUAAAAUUCUUCGGAAUUCUAGCAUCUCUAGGAAUAGAUAAACAGCAGCUCAACCUUCCCAUAUCAUAUCCGUUAACAACUUAGACAUCAAAUCAAGUUCUCUUCCCACAUGUUCAGGUUUAGAGCAAACUUUAAAUUAUAACAGUUAUGUCUAAACUAGAGAGAACUUCAAAUUUGAAAAUUAGGCAGAGCAACUAUUCAUCAUAUCCAUGCUAGAGUUUUAUUAUUAAGAUUCAGUUUAGCAUAGCCACUUUAUUUAUUUAUUAAGCAAACUAAGCAAAGGAUAUAUAUAAGCACAAAAAUCUUGAUUUGGUUUUUCAUAAUUAUGUAUAUUUAUAUUUUAAUAUAGUAUAAGUAUAUAGAUAGAUAGAAAUACUUAUCGAGAUAAAUGGGGGUGCUCUCCCACAAGCUGAAUUUUGACGUAAUUUCUUUUGAUGUAGCUAGCAUGUGGCAGAGGUGUAUUUGAAAGUCGGUAGCACCCUGACAGCAAUUAGAAUGUCCUCCGUCUGCUAGUCUUCUUGAUCCUUGAAUUCUAUGGAGCUCAAAUAGACAAUAAAGCUUUGUGGAACUGAUUAGGUGUUAGCAUAAAUAUCUAGCCUUUAUCAUGUUGAGCCUCCUCAAUAAGUGUUACUCUCUAUUUUAUAUUUAGAUUUUAUAAAGCGGAAAAAUAUUUAUUUUAUUUUUAUGCCACCACAGUGAAUGUACUUAUGGGUUUUAUGCCACUUGUAUACUCACAUGGGGCUUACUGUUUUUUUAACAUUUUUAUUUUCUUUUUUUGGAUAGUACGGACAUAGUUACUAAGCAAACGAUUUGAAAUAAUUGAAAGGAAAAGGAUAACUACCAAGUUUACCUCUUGGCAAGGCGUUCAGUGUUUUUAUGUCCUCCGAACGGGACUCUCCGUUUUCUCAGUUGUCUUGGAAUUCGUUGGAUGAUGGAGUCGGUACUUCCGGCGGCGUCUCUUCUUCAUGUAUAGUUAUCUUCUCUCUCCACACCUGACUCGGUGCUAUGGUCUCCUCUAGAUAAUUUUGUUCAAGCUGUAUGUCUUCAGACCUUACCACUUCUCCUUCAAAGUCUGCCCAUCCGUCCUUGAUGAUUUGCCUCCUCUUGUUGCGUCGUCUUCUUCUUGUCCUGACCUGCUUAGAGUCUUCAACGAUAUAAUUAGGGUCAGUAAAAUAGCGGCGUACCUUCUCUGAGGGAAAGUGCAUGUGAACUUCUCCGGUUCCAAUGUAGAUGAUUGCUUUAACAGUGCUGAUGAAAGGUCUCCCAAGGAUGAUGGGUGGAUCGUACUCGUCUUCUCCCAUGUCAAUAACCUGAAAGUCUAUAUGGACAAAAUGAUCGUCUAUUUUGACAGGGGCAUCAGUUACUAUACCUUCAACCUUUCAGAAUGUUUGAUCUGCCAUCUGGAGUUGAAUGUAUGUUGGUUUUAAGGGCAUGGUUCCGAACAAGAGCCAAUCGGUGACUGCAGCCAUUCUGUUGACGCCCAAUCCGGUGUCGCAAAUUGUCUUGUAGAAGUUGUACCCAUGGAUGGGGCAAUGAAUGCUUGGCAUACCUGGGUCGUCCUUCUUGGUCAGAAAUGGUGACUUAAGUCGAUGAUCUUGACCUCCAUGAACUGCAGUGACCAUCUUAGCUGACUCGGUCCACACUUGCUUGUUCCUGUUCCUCCUGUUGGUCCUCUUCCUUGGUUCAUGUCGGGAUUGCUCUGGGAUUUGUGUAGUCUUGUUCUUGAAGGAAAACAUCUCCUUUCUCCCUUUGAUGUAGAAACUGAUCUUGGCAGCACUGGCGUAGAUGACAGCUCUCGAGGUGUUCAAGAAUGGCCUCCCUAAGAUGACGGGUGCCCUCUCAUCAUUAGCGGUCUCUAUCACCACGAAGUCUGCUGGGGCGUACAAAGUACCAACUCGGAUGCAAAGGUUCUUCAAUAUUCCCUUUGGGAAACUUAACGUCUGAUCUGCAAACUGCAAACACAUGGUUGUCUCUAAUAAAGGAUAUGUAAAGAAUUUUUCAUAGAGUACCAUGGGCAUAUUGUUGACACUAGAGCCAAAGUCGCAAAGUGCUUCUGGGAAGUCCACCAUGCCAAUGGAGAUCGGGAUGACGGGGCGUCCUGGAUCGCCUCUCUUGACCGGCAGAAGGUCAGUAGUAACUUUAGUGACGGGGUUACUCCAGUAGUUACCUGCUUCAAACAUGUCUACAAGUUUUGCAGAUUCUAAUCCUUCCGGUUGUGAUGGUAUACCAGGGUUAGUAGCAGGAACAGCAGCAGCUAUUUGAUUUAACUGAGAUUCAAUCAUUUUAUUAAAGCUAAUUUGAUUCUUGAUGGCAGUAGAAAAAUUAUCAAUUCUAUUAUUUAUAUUUUCUAACAUUUUAUCAUUAGAUGCCAAUUUCUUAGAUAGGUUAUCCAUUAGCUUUCCUUGAUUAGAUGCUAACUCUCAGAGGUGGAAAAUUAUUAUUAUUAGUGUAAGAAUUGUUACCUUGAUAAUUACUUGAGUAGUUAGGCCUCUCUUGAUUCCAACCUUGAUUUUUUGUUGAGGGCUGUUGUAGUAGUAGUUGUUGUAAUUGUUGAUGUAGUUCACAUCCUCAAGCAUCUCAGGGCAGUGAUUGCCUGAGUGUCCAGUAUCUCCACACUCCUCACAAGUCAUGUGAGAGUCGUAGAUGUGCAUGACUUCUUUCUUAUCUCCAGCUCUAUCAUCGAGCAUCUUCAUGAGCAGGUCUAGCUUUGCAGAAAGCAUGUCUACCUUCUUGAGCUGGUGCAUGUUGGGUAUUUUUAACAUCAUUACCAAAAGUAGACAAUUUUCUAAAUCUGAUAACGGUGCCAAAAAUGCCAAACCUAUCCCUCUGUUGAUGCAAAACAGAUCUGCAAACACAAAGGGCUAAUACCCGAUUCAAACGUUAAGGCGUGCCAGCCGAUUUGACCUUACUAUCGGCAAAGGUGAUAACUCGAAUACUUUAGUCCUGACAACAGCGAUGCGACCGGAUGUCACGGCUAAGAGGUACUCACGCGGAACUUGAGAACACGCCGAGCUUAAGUCGACGAAUUCCUAAGAACUCGUAAUAAAAGGGAAAAAGUAUGACGAAGUCGUCGAAAAGUAGAUGCUGAAAUAUGAGUAAAAACGUGUGUUUGAUUGAUUGAUAGAUAUCUCAUUACAAGGCCCUAGGGUCUAUAUUUAUACCCUACUCAAAGAGCUACAACCAGAAACGAUUAGAUUUCGAAUUCCAAACUACACGGAAUCCGUAUACAAAACGAUGUAAAUAAUUAAGGAAAUAACAAAACUAUCCCCCGUGACAAACUGAAACUCCCUCACACAACGACCGGCAGCUCCCGGACUCCCUCUUUGCAUCAUCGGCAGACCCUUUGCCAUAGUCAUCGGCAGACUUUCUUAUCCAGCCAUCGGCACAGUCAUAUCACUGCCUGUAGACUUAGUCACGUUCAACUUCUCCUUCAUCGGCAACCAUCCUUAUCGGCAACUCACCUUGUAAACAUCGUACUGCCACCUCAUCCUGCCAUCCUAGACACGUGCCCAAAAACGGUGUCAACACAUGCCCCCCAGUUUCGGAGUAUAAAACUAUUAAUGCUCCAAAAUUCUCUGCAGUAAUGAUGCCUUCUCCCGCAAUUAAUGCUCCUAAUCUGGUAACCGACAACCUCAAUCUGAACAACUCUGAUCCUAUUCCUCCGCAGAUUCCUCGAAAUCCCCAACUUCCUAAACGGGCAUUUCUUCUCAACCGUACAUUGGCAAUAAUACCGUUACAAAGAUCUGCCGAUGUUCUGACCAGGAUAUUCGCAUAAACAGUUACUUCCCCUCUAUCCGCCCAUCGGCAAUAUGACCGUUAUAGAACGCUGCCGAUGGACCGACUAGGAGAUCUUGCACAGUAAAAUAUCUCCAGAUAAUGAUCGUUUCCCAUCAAAUCACCUGCACAAUCCCUGGAUUAUCGUGCGAACAGUUACCAUAUCCACCUGAGUACCCUCGGAUUUCUCGGAUGCGGCAAAGAGAUAAGUCAGAUUUGCCCUUGCCCAUUUUGUCCUAUAAAUAGUCCCUUCUCGGGUACUCCUUCCCCAUCACAUCUUUCUACUACCCAACUUUACUUUUCCAGCGGCGGCGCCAUCCAAAACUCCCAAAAUCUUCGACAAGUACUCCUCUUCAUCAACUCCGGCGCCCCCAAACGCUUUCUUCGCAGCAAGAUGGCCGUCGGCUUCGUCGUCCCUGAGGUCAAAUCUCCACCCCGUCUCCUGUAUUUUUCCUUCAUAUCCCUGUUCAUUCGCAAUUCAUUUUACUGAAUAUCUCCCUUUUCUUUCCUCUUUGUAUUUCUUUUUAUUCCCAAAAAUCACUAGGAAUUGUCCAAUAAAAUUGUCAUCCCCACUGAUCAACCACACCUCCAAUGUCUCGGUCCUCUAGGAGAUCCAGAUCCAACCGAACUCAUUAACGCAGAAACCAACAGGAUCCCCUUCAGAACUGAAAAUUUUUUGUUAGAUUUGUGGAAAGAUACCUUCCUCUCUUGGCCUAGCCCUACCGUAGGGUGGAAAGACUGGUUCUUGAGAGUCAGCAAUUCUUAUGAAGUUCAGUGGGGCGAAAGGAAACUAGCCCAAUGCAUUAGGUUGUCUAUCGCCGAUAUGCAUAGGAAUGAGUCACUGCUGAUAGCUGCAUCCUACUUUUGGUCAGACACCCUUAAUGCUUUUGCCUUUGGCCACGGCCCUGCUUCUCCUACCCUUGCCGAUGUAGCCAUGCUUACUGGUCUAGACAUAUCUUCUGUCGAUAGCACCCAUUUUUUUGAUACUGCCCCUAGUGCCAAGGUGGAGACUCGCGCUAUAGGCGGUUGGUCAGGGUACAUCCAGAAGUACCGUGGGAAAGGAUCUGUUACCAUAAAGGAACAAACCACCUUUCUGAACAUGUGGCUGGACAAGUUUGUAUUCAGGGGUCGAUCGGCAGGGCCGACUUCCGUCUAUCUAUCGGCAGCAGAAAGACUGGCUAACGGAGGCCAAUUUCCUCUCGGCCGAUACUUGCUUGGCGCUGUUUACCAUCUUCUCCAUCAGGUAGCCCAGAAACUCCUGCUUGGCCAGUCCAUCGGCAACUUGGGAGGCCCCUGGUGGUUUAUUAAUAUGUGGCUCAAUCUGCACCUGCAUAAGCGCCUUGAUUUCAACUUGUUCACACAGCACUACCCAAGAGAUAUAGCCGAAAACCAUGUGUUGGGUGAAGAGGAAUCGGCAACGCGUGCCCCCUUGAACUUUGGUGAAGCUGUCAUCGUUCUACCUGGUUCAGGGGGUAAUCCGGAUCAGAUCGGCCGAUUCUUCCAGACUCUGUAUGAGGGUUUGGCCAGAGACGAACGACCAUGAUUAGCUUAUGCUGACCCAGAUAGCAUGCUCCCUCUGACCUUCAAUCCAUUUGAUGAAGCUCUCGACAGAGACAAUGAGGCGAUGAUGGCAAUUGUGACUCCCAGAAUCAUUCCAGUGAAUUUCUUUGGUAGCACAAAAACCUCUCCUCAGACUUAUGAAUUUUAUAACCCAUCGGCAUUAGCUCGCCAGUUAGCUUUCGGCCAGUUGCCGUUUGCACUUCCUUAUGCCGAUGUGAUAAAACCCAGAGAAACCAUCAACAACCUUCUUGAGUGGAUUCGAGUGGCCCAACUACCACCAAACGCCGAUACAGAUGUAGAUCUGUCGGAAUGGGUUCCGGCUGCUUUUAUCACUCAGGCAUACAAGUUAUGGUGGGCAGAGUGGAAAGAGCAUCUAUUCUGCAGAUCGGCCCUUUCAUACCGUGGCAUGAUCGACUCCGAAUACGAAGUUCCCGAUGACACUGUAAGUAUCUUAUACCGAUGCUCUAUUUUUUCAAUAUUACUUCCAUCGGUAGCUUACCCUUAUGUUCCUUUUGCAGGUUGACAACAUCCCUCCAUCGGUUAGCAGGAGUGGCAAGCCGAUUGACUUGUUUCCAUCAGGCCCGAUUUCCUCCAUCGGCCACAAUGCUCCCACCCUGGCUUCCAUCGUGCAUCGGGGUGUGCGUCUCAGGAAAGUCACCACCAGGAGAACCCAGACAUCACCAACGGUAGCUGCUCCCACUCUGGCGCGGGCUUUCAAGGCAAUUUGUUAAAUCUUUUCCUUUAUGCUGACUAUCUUUAUAUCGGCUAUAUUUAUGCUUAUAAACUCUUGUUCGUUAUUGCAGCAAACCGGCGUAUCGGCGAAAGCCAGGCGUGAAAGUGCAAAUGCCCCCCAGUCUAGCCAACCAAAGAGAAAGGGCACCACAGGUGCUAAGACUGGAACAAAGCGCCAAAAGGUAGCAACUCCCCCUCCUCCUCCGGUGUCUCCAAUUCCGGUGGAGUCUUCUCCAUCUUCUCCAGAAGCCCAGCCACAACAAGCACCAUCUCCCCCACCUAUGCAGGAAGCACCACAGAUAGAAGAACCCCAGCAGGAAGGACCUCAAACAGAAGAUACAUCAGCUGAUAUGGGUGAACAAACAACUGGCCCGGUGGGUCCAGUUAUACCAUCGGCAGUUCUCCCGAUUCAGACAACCGUUGUUCCUCCUCCAGGUAACAUACUUUAACAAUAUCGCUACCGAUGAACUUAUUCUCAUUUAGUCUCAUAACUCCUCUUGUCUUCUUUCAGUUGAUAUCGUUCCAUCGGCAACUUCAACCGAUCAACCUAUAGUUCCAUCGGCAUCUUUGGCCGAUCAGCCUGCAGCUCCAUCAGCACUUCUCAGUCAAAGACAAGAGAUCGCCUUGAAGCAAGUAAGUCACCAUUUACCGUUAGCAUUAUUUGCCGAUUCUCUGAAUAUGAGCUAACUUUGCUUUCCCUCCCAGGAACAAGAUUCUCCCCAUAGCCUGUUCUCCUUCGCCAUCGAUCUCUCUGAAGAAGAAGGUGAAGAAGCAAGCUCCUCUCAGACGGUCAGCAUUACAUCGGCAGAGAUCAGGGUCAGGCUGGAAGAAUUGUCAGCUCUCCUUCACCAGGACACAGCGCAAUUGGUUGAUGACUCCGACCCUACCAAGACCCUGUUCAGAGCUCUCAGAGGCCAAAUCCCAACCGAUGUCGAAGAAAUCCUGUUCCAAGCCGCUCAUCUGGAGAGUCGCCAGCUGCAGUACCAAAGAGCUUCUCGGCGUCUUGCCGAUAGAGCCGCUCAGACUCAACUCUCUGAUGAAAUGAGGAAAGAGAAGCUCUUGACCGAUGAGAAGCACAAGAACAUCGGUAUCCUGAGAUCUUCUGGAGACGCGCUGAAGCAGAAGAUAUCCGAUCUAUCGGCAAGAAGAGAAUCCCUGUUGGCGGAGCUCAAGGAAGUGGAGAACGCCCUAUCCCAAGCCCAACAGGAAGAGAGCCAAUUGCCAGAGACCAUCAGGCUUCUUGAGCACGAGCAAAACGCUCAUGGUCGCAAGGCACUUCAACUGAAGAAGAAGCUGAAGCCAAUAGAAGGUUCUGCCGAUGAUGACAUCAAGGAGAUAGAAGCAGCCAACCAAAUUCGGCUACGCGCUAUAUCGGCAAUCCAGGCGCUGCUUAAUACAUAGAGUGUCCAUCGGCAUUUUAUCUGUGCUUUCCUGCUUCCUCAGCUUUUAGUCCAGCCGAUAGGACUGUUAUCGGCACCUAAACUUUUGAAACACCAGGUCUUGUCCCCAAACAUUUGGAUUCAGCCGAUAGGAGUGUUAUCGGCACCUAAACUUCUAUGCAUCGACCCAUAUACUGGGGUAGUACUUCUUUAAAUAUUUGCCGUUUAAUGCUCUGGGAAAUUCAACUCCUUCGAGGGUUUCUAGAAUGUAGGCAUUACCGGGAGCCGAUCGACUUAUCCGAUAAGGACCCUCCCAAUUAGGAGACCAUUUUCCAAACUUCGAACUUUUAGUCCCGAUUGGUAAAAUUAAUUUCCAUACCAAAUCCCCAUCGGCAAACUCUUUAGCCUUCACUUUCUUAUCAUACCAUCUAGCAACUCUCUUCUUAUUUUCUUCUAUACUCAUUAAAGCUUUUAACUGAUGCCCUGCUAGAUCAUCCAAUUCAUCGGUCAUCAAAGUGGCAUAAUCGUCGGCAGUUAAUUGAUCUUGAAAAGAUAAUCGCCUAGAUCCAGCCUUAAUUUCCCAAGGCAACACCGCAUCAUGUCCAUACACCAAUUGAUAGGGUGACACCUUGGUUGAUCCAUGACAAGCCAUCCGAUAAGACCACAAUGCUUCAUUUAACAAUGUAUGCCACCGCUUAGGAUUUUCUUCAAUCUUUCGUUUAAUAAGCUUGAUAAUUCCUUUGUUAGACGCUUCGGCCUGCCCAUUGGCUUGAGCAUAAUAAGGAGAAGAAUUCAACACUUUAAUCCCCAUACCGAUUGCGAAUUCAUCGAACUCCCCCGAUGUGAACAUCGUGCCCUGAUCGGUAGUAAUCGUUUGGGGAAUCCCAAAUCGGUAAAUAAUAUGCUCCUUCACAAAAUCAAUCAUAUUGGCCGAUGUGACUUUCUUCAAAGGAAUAGCUUCAACCCACUUAGUGAAAUAAUCAGUGGCAACUAGAAUGAACUUGUGCCCUUUGCUAGAUGGUGGAUAAAUCUGGCCGAUCAGAUCGAUGGCCCAUCCCCGGAACGGCCAAGGCUUUAUUAUAGGAUUCAUAGCCGAUGCGGGUGCUCUCUGGAUAUUACCAAAUUUUUGACAACCUUGACAUCCCUUGAAAUAUUUAAAACAAUCCUCAAGUAUGGUCGGCCAAAAAUAUCCAUUCCUUCGAAUCAUCCACUUCAUCUUAAAAGCUGACUGAUGCGCUCCACACACUCCUUCAUGGAUUUCCCCCAUCAAACUCCUAGCUUCAUCUUCACCCAAGCAUCGGAGAAGAAUUCCGUCGAUAGUUCGAUAAUACAAUUCAUCUUCAAGAAGCACAUACUUGGUUGCUUGAAAUCGAACCCGUCUUUCAACUUUUUUAGAUGGACCUUUUAGAUAAUCAAUAAUUUCUUUCCUCCAAUCAUCGGCACCGAUUGCCGAUAUUGCAUUAAUCAUUGGCUGAUAUCCCGAUGCAUGCUGAGCUAACCGAUUGGCGUCUUCAUUAUGCAGUCGGGGAACAUGCUCUAAUAGGAAAUCCUUAAAUUCCUUUAACAGUUGCAUACUUCUCUCGAAAUAAGUUAUGGGAACUUCACUUCGGCAUUCAUAGCUCCCAACCAAUUGAUUUAUAACCAACAUAGAAUCCCCGAAGAUUUCAACAGCAUCAGCACGAACUUCUCUUAACAACUCCAAUCCCUUGAUCAGAGCCUGAUACUCAGCCUGUUUAUUUGUCGAUGUGGCAACAAUCGGCAAGGAAAACUCAUACUUCCUCCCCUUAGGGGAAAUUAAUACAAUGCCGAUUCCUGCCCCCCGGUCACAAGUGGAUCCAUCAAAGAAGAGCGUCCAGGGUACAAUUUCCAAGGUUUCCACCACACCGCAAUGCUGAGUCACAAAAUCGGCCAUAAUCUGCCCUCUGACUGCCUUGGCCGAUUCGUAACGCAAAUCGAAUUCCGACAGUGCCAAAAUCCAUUUACCGAUCCUACCACUCAUAAUCGGCAUAGAUAGCAUGUACCGGACCACGUCAUCUUUGCAAACGACGGUGCAUUCGGCCGAUAACAGGUAAUGUCUCAGCUUGAUACAUGAAAAAUAUAAGCAUAGGCAUAGUUUCUCAAUGGCCGAAUACCUGGUUUCAGCAUCGAUCAACCUUCUACUCAAGUAAUAAAUUACCCUUUCUUUCCCUUCAAAUUCUUGAACUAAAGCUGAACCGAUAACCGAUCCAUCGGCAGACAAAUACAAUCUGAAGGGCUUUCCUUGUUGAGGUGGAACUAGAACUGGAGGAUUUACUAGAUAUUUCUUUAUUUCAUCCAGAGCCAACUGCUGUUCUUCUCCCCAAAUAAACUCUUGAUCGGCUUUCAAUUUAAGAAGAGGACUGAAAGCACGAAUCUUACCAGACAGAUUAGAUAUAAAUCUCCUGAUAAAAUUUACCUUGCCGAUCAAGGAUUGGAGCUCGGUUUUGUUGGUAGGGGCCACUAUUUUAUUGAUGGCAUCAAUGGAUCUUCGACUAAUUUCAAUACCCCUUUGAUGUACCAUGAAACCAAGAAACUGCCCUGCCGAUACACCAAAUGCACACUUGUUGGUAUUCAUCUUCAAUCCAUGCUUCCUUGUGCACUCUAACACUUUUUGUAAAUCGGCAAGAUGCUUUGAGAAAUCUCCAGACUUAACCACCACAUCAUCAAUAUAAAUCUCCACGAGCUUGCCGAUGAACUCAUGAAAUAUAAAAUUCAUAGCCCUUUGAUAAGUAGCACCAGCAUUCUUCAACCCAAAAGUCAUGACUAUCCAUUCAAAUAGCCCAACAUGACCAGGACACCUGAAUGCGGUUUUUGGAAUAUCCUCCUCCGCCAUGAAUAUUUGAUUGUAACCUGCAUUACCAUCCAUGAAGCUGAUGACCCGAUGACCAGCCGCAGCAUCAACCAGUAGAUCGGCGACACGCAUUGGGUAUCCAUCCAUCGGCGUAGCUUUAUUGAGAUUCCUGAAAUCAAUGCACACCCGAAGCUUCCCGUUCUUCUUGUAAACCGGAACAACAUUGGAAAUCCACUCGGCAUACCGACACUGCCGAAUAAACUUAGCUUCAAUAAGUUUGGUGAUUUCGGCCUUAAUAUCAGGUAGAAUGUUAGGAUUACAUCGGCGAGCUGGUUGCUGAUGUGGCCGAAAUCCAGACUUGAUGGGUAACCGAUGUUCAACAAUUGAUCGGUCUAAACCAGGCAUCUCGGUAUAAUCCCAAGCAAAGCAAUCUUUAUAUUCCUUUAACAAACUAGUCAAUUGUUGCUUACACUCACGAUCUAAUUUAGCACUAAUAAAAGUAGGCCUAGGCUUAUCACCACUACCUAUAUCUACUUCUACCAAAUCAUCGGCCGAUGUGAAUCCCUGGCCUAAUUUUCCAUCAUCGGCGAAUCUAUCCAUUAAAAACCGUCGUCAGAACCGACUGCUUGGAUCGGUGGAAUCUCGUAAUCGGCAACUUUGAGAAAAUCUUUCUCCCAAACUUCUCCUGAAAUGCACCUGGUCCUUUCGUAAGUAUCCGCUUCUGCCGAUGCGAUAACAUAAGAAGAAUCUCCUGGGACAAUCUCAAUCUUGUCACCUACCCACUGAACCAAGCAUUGAUGCAUUGUAGAUGGGAUACAACAAUUGGCAUGAAUCCAAUCUCUUCCCAAUAAUAAGUUGUAAGCACCUUUUCCACUGAUCACGAAGAAAGUUGUCGGCAAGGUUUUGCUGCCGAUGGUCAACUCCACACAUAUUGCCCCCUUGACUGGAGACACGUUUCCUUCAAAGUCUUUGAGCAUCAUAUCGGUCUUGGUCAAAUCUUGAUCCCCUUUCCCAAGCUUCCGAUAUACUGCAUACGGCAUAAUAUUAAUAGCAGCUCCACCAUCAACUAGGAUCUUGGUCAUUGGCUGCCCAUCAACCCUUCCUUUGACAAACAGAGCUUUGAGAUGCUGUCUCUCGUCAUCAGCAGGUUUCUCAAAGAUAGCCGUCAUCGGAUCCAGAGCCAGCUGAGCUAUCUGAUCAGAAAAUUCCAACUCAUCAUCACUGGAUGGUGCAAGAAACUCUAUCGGCAACAUAAAGACCAUGUUGACUCCUGCCGAUGGACCUUCCUUCUUAGUGUUUGAUGGCUGUUGACUUCCAGAGUUCUCGCCCUUGCUUAGCCCCUCUUGCCUUUCACGCUGCAAUCUCCUUUUCUGUGUCUUGGUUAAUCCUUCAGGACACCAUGGAGGAAGUGGCUUUUGCCUUGCUGCCGGGCGUCGGUUCUCCCUUGACUCCAUACGAUGCGUGUUAGCAUCUCUGCAAAAUAUGAACUCAUCGGGAACCCGUGCAUUAGCCAUCUCCUCGAGCUCUUCCUGGUUCCUGGGAAAAUACUAGACACGGUCACCAAGCCUAUCGUGCACGCUAAGCCUGCCCCCCAGACGAUCAUGAACUGACGCCCUUCCUCUGAUUGGCCCAUCAAAUCGUCGAUUAUCCUCAUGAUAACGCCGAUCGGUCCUAUCGUACCGAUCAUAACCGUUGCACUCAGGGCAGUCUCUGACAGUAGGAAGCUUGAUAUUUUCCUUCCAACAAUGGAUGAAGAACGGACAAUUCCAAUGAUCUCUGUGCCGAUUCCACUCCUUUCGGCGUCUUUCUUCUUCCCGUCGAUAAUCUUCCUGCUGGCGCCGAUACCGAUCCUUCCGUUGUUGCCAAUUUUCUCGAGGCCUUCUAUGAGUUAUGACGAUACCAGACCGAGGAGGCCUUCCUGAGCUAGUUCCUUCCUGGACCAAACCCUUACUCCUUGCAUCGGCAGUAGUAACUUGAUGCUGAGGAUCUACCGAUGCACUCUUCUCAGCUGUCUCUGAUGUUAAGACCUUAGCCUUCCCCUUAGCAUCCAACAUGUUUGUCGGGAAAGGAUGUUGGUCUAUCUUCAUCGGCUUCUGGGCCUUAGAACUGUCAAACUUGAUUCUCCCAGACUCUAUAGCCAAUUGCAGCUGCUGUCUGAAUACUUUGCACUCGUUGGUGUCAUGGGAAGUUGCAUUAUGCCACUUGCAAUAUCUCAUCCUCUUUAACUCUUCUGACGAUGGGAUCACAUGAUUAGGUGACAGUUUGAUCUGACCUUCCUGAAGUAGAAAGUCAAAUAUCCUAUCGGCUUUAGCGGUGUCAAAAGCAAACUUCUCUGGUUCCUUCUGCCCAAAAGGGCAAGACAUCGGCUUCUUGUUUUUUACCCACUCUGCCAAGCCGAUGACUGGUUCCUCAUCGGAAUCUGAGCUUGUUGCCUCAUCAACAAAUGACACCUUCUUGUUCCAUGCUCUUUUGGGCUCAAAAGGCUUGAUGUCUUGAUCAGAAAUCCUCUGCACCAAAUGACUUAAACUUUCGAACUCCUGAGAGGCAUACUUAUCCCUGAUAUGUGGCAACAAACCCUGGAAAGCCAAAUCGGCUAGCUGCCGAUCAUCCAGAACCAAGCUAUAGCAUUUAUUCUUAACCUCUCGUAUCCUCUGCACAAAACCCUCAACCGACUCAUCAUUACGUUGCCUCAACUUGACCAAGUCGGUGAUCUUCUUCUCAUGAACCCCCGAAAAGAAGUAUUUGUGGAAUUGUUUCUCCAAAUCGGCCCAUGUAAUUACUGAGUUGGGAGGUAAUGAUAUGAACCAAGUAAAGGCCGAUCCAGACAAUGAUGAUGAAAAUAGACGAACCCUCAAUUCGUCCCUGCUACCAGCCUCUCCACAUUGAAUGAUGAACCUGUUGACAUGCUCCAUGGUUGACGUGUCGUCCUGCCCGGAAAACUUGGUAAAAUCCGGUACCUUGUACCGAUGUGGAAGCGGGAUCAAAUCAUAUGCGGGAGGAUACGGUGUCCGAUAAGAGUAAGUGUUGACUUUGGGUUUUAUCCCAAAUUGCUCCCUCAUUACUUCAGCGAUCUUAUCGGCCCAAUACGCAUCGGCAACCUGCCGAUGGGGCGGUUGCGGUUCUGGUGCUUGGUGGCGAACCUCCACGUGUCUGUUCGGGACGUGAUCUGCACGGAAUAUCGGAUUGAUCACAUGCCCUCCAAUCUGCGGACCACCAAGCUGCUGUCCACCGAUUUGCUGCCCUCCGAGUUGUUGUCCGCCGAGUUGCUGUCCCCCGAGUUGCUGUCCGAAAUUCAUUGGCUGGUUGGGAAUCCCCUGACCUUGGAACCCGGGAUAGACCUGUCCUUGCUGGAACCCUGUAGUCUGAUAACUCUGCUGGGGCGAUUGUGGAAAGACUUGCUGUCCAAGCCAUCCAUUAUUAGCGUUCAUCGGCAUAGGCGCUGCCGAUGACUGGUAAUUGGGUAUCAUCAUUGAAUUGACAUACCCCGACUGUGCCAUAGACCUCUGUUGCAUCAGCAUUGAUUCUGCCGAUGCAUUAAGCAUCUGGAACGUUGAAUCUUGAGGAUUUCCAGUGUGAGGCCUUGCAGUAGUGGUUGUGGUAUACCGGGGACUUUGGUUCAACGGCACAUUGGGAGGCGCCGAUGUCAUAGGAGUCUUGCCCCUCAUGUCGGUUAUCUGCGAUGUACCUGGCGUCAAUUCUGGAGGCAUACCAUAACCCCACCAGUUGGGAGGAAGAGUCAACCCUGACAUUGCCGAUGCCAACAUAUCUGUAGUCAGCUUAUUCUGCCCACCUGAAGUCUGCGGGUUAGUUGUCAUCGGCACAGAUAGAGCACCAGAAGCUCCCGAUGUACUUGGAGGGACGGCAGAUUGUGCACUUGCAGCCGUCAAAGCAGCCGAUGGAGCCGUGACUUCUGGUGCCGUGGGCUGGUGAUGAGAGGGGCCCACAUAAUCUGGUGGGAUUUGUCCUUCCUUGAAAGUUCUUGCCACGGCAUUGAAAACCGUAUUAGACAGUACACCAGCUUGGUUGAUCAAAGCUCGGUUGAUAGCAUUGUCAACCAUAUCUUGAAGCUUGCCAGGAUUGGCGUCGAAGGUAACCUGCCGUGGCGCCGGCAGUGCAUCUUUCUGGACCACUUCGCUGCUCCUAUUUAUACUGAAAGACCUCAGGCAUUGGAGCUUGAACUCUUCCAUGGCUUGGGCAAUAGCUUGCUUCUGCUCAUCCUUGAGAUUGGCCUCCGUCACGGGGAUGACGUUCUCUUGAUCGAGGUCAGAGAUCGACAUGUUGAUCUUGAUCUUGAAUCUGGUCCCACCAGGCGUGCCAAAAGAUGUGUUGAUGCAAAACUGAUCUGCAAACACAAAGGGCUAAUACCCGAUUCAAACGUUAAGGCGUGCCAGCCGAUUUGACCUUACUAUCGGCAAAGGUGAUAACUCGAAUACUUUAGUCCUGACAACAGCGAUGCGCCCGGAUGUCACGGCUAAGAGGUACUCACGCGGAACUUGAGAACACGCUGAGCUUAAGUCGACGAAUUCCUAAGAACUCGUAAUAAAAGGGAAAAAGUAUGACGAAGUCGUCGAAAAGUAGAUGCUGGAAUAUGAGUAAAAACGUGUGUUUGAUUGAUUGAUAGAUAUCUCAUUACAAGGCCCUAGGGUCUAUAUUUAUACCCUGCUCAAAGAGCUACAACCAGAAACAAUUAGAUUUUGAAUUCCAAACUACACGGAAUCCGUAUACAAAACGAUGUAAAUAAUUAAGGAAAUAACAAAACUAUCCCCCGUGACAAACUGAAACUCCCUCACACAACGACCAGCAACUCCCGGACUCCCUCUUUGCAUCAUCGGCAGACCCUUUGCCAUAGUCAUCGGCAGACUUUCUUAUCCAGCCAUCGGCACAGUCAUAUCACUGCCUGUAGACUUAGUCACGUUCAACUUCUCCUUCAUCGGCAACCAUCCUUAUCGGCAACUCACCUUGUAAACAUCGUACCGCCACCUCAUCCUGCCAUCCUAGACACGUGCCCAAAAACGGUGUCAACACCCUCAUACCACUUAAACCAAGUUGUCAUCCCCAGCAUGACAUGAGAGACGUGGUAUUAAAAUAUGCACUUGCUCUUCUAAAUAAAUAAUAAAUGGGAUCUGCAAGCGCACAGAUUAAUACCGAUGUAGCAUUUUAACCGGGAAGUAUUCCAGGUAUCGUUAUUUAUAUUUUUACCACUGUGAAGGGAUUAACAAUCAUCAAUAUUGAUUACAGAAUAGAAUAUGAGAUUGAGUAUCUAUCAUUGCAUGUAUAAUUGAGAACAUUUAUCUAACUCUUUCAUACAGGGGUAAGUGUCACAUAAAGGAUAUAUGAAGUAAUGAAUAGUGACAAAGAUAAUUAAUCUGAUCAUAAAUAGCCACAUAUAAAUAUGAUAAGCACCUCAAUUAGAUACUCUAGAAAGUCAUUAGCAUGGAAUUAGAACGAACUACAAGAAUAUUUCCUAAGUUAUUCUCAACUAUAUAGUCUAGCAUUAUCAUAAUUAGUGCAAGCAUACUUAGCAAUCAUUGCGAGACAAGACUACGCCCAUGCAUAGUGAUAUUAGCAAGGUAAAUGAGAAACAUAGCAAUCACUCUCCUGUAAUAAUAUUGCUCUGCCAGCCCAAUACACGAGAGGGGGACUAUAUAAGAAUCAAUGAAGCUGUCACUAUCACGAACUACCCCACGAUCUGGCAUAUUGGGUACAAUCACAGAUAACUACGGUAUAAGCACCACGCCUACACAAUAUCUAUCAUUUACCCAUGGAUCCAAUGGAUAAACGCUAUACGAUCCUAAGCAUGUAUAUAGAUCCAAUCUAACUAAGCCAAGUACAUAACUAUGGUAAACUAAUAAGAACAAUAUAAUCUUGAAUAUAAGCAACUAGAGCAAAGUCAUAUGCAAUAUAUAGAAGUAGAACAAAGUCAUAUUCAUAAUAUUGAAGAACAAAGAUAAUUAGAAGAACAAUUAGAAGCACAAUUAGAGAAUUACCAAGAAUCCUCUUGACAGAUCCGGAAACCAAUCGAAGAUUGACUCCUUCUAGUUCUAAUCCUAUGUAGCUAUGCUAAUCUAGAUGUCUAAUUGGUGUGGUGGCUCUAAUCUUGAUCAAAGGCUUCUUCUCCCUUGAGAAUAAUGAAUUAGGGUUGAGAGGCUCUAUCCUCCAGGGUCCAGGGGGUCUGGUUUUAUAGUCUCUUCAAGUGAGUAUGGGCCGUUGGAUCAAACAGUCAUUGAUUGAACGGUUAUCCUUGAUCCUUUAGGUCGGUGGAGAUCUUCCCCAAAACAGAGUCCUGAUUGGACUCAGAGAGGGGGCGGGCGCCCAGGGCAACUGGGCGGGCGCCCAGUCCCUGGCCCCGUUCGGCCUCCGCUUCCUUCCCGUGGCUUCUGGAGUCUUCUAGAUGUAAGAUAAUUGCGCGGCACGUUGAUAUCUCUAUGUAAUCCCGACGUGUGGGCCUUUCUUCCGUAUUUCCUGAUAACCCCCUGCAGAAAUAGACAAACACCAAAACUCAUGGAAUUCUGUCAGAUAAAACCCUAAGUCUAGAUGUUGAUUUCAUUUGGAUCUUUUUCUUUGUUUAUUUGAUAAUUAAAUUUGAUACUUAAGGACCGUUAACAAACUCCCCCAAGCUUACCUCUUGCUCGUCCCUGAGCAAGGAUAGACUCAGUGAUGGAUUAGAAGUUGUUGCAAUAUCUUAAAAAUUGACGGUACACAUGCUUUUAAAUAAAGAUCUCAUCUCUGAGUUAGAGUAAACUGUCAAGACUUAAAACUUACUUAGUUUAUCUUUCACCAUGGGACUUGUAACCGUUACUUCUGUCUUGAGUAGUUAAAAGAUAGAACAGUCUAGUCAAGUGUCAUGUCUCUUAUUCUUGAUCAGCUAUAGCUCUGGAGUUUUUGCAGAUUUUCAAAUAAAACUCAGAGAUUCCUUGUAUGACUCUCUCAUAUCUCUCUUUUGUGGUAUUUCUGGAUCCUUACCAAGGCAGUAAUGGUAUAUGCCUUCUCUCAAAGUAUGUGGUAUUUUUGGUAUGAGGCAUAGUGAUAUUGCCUUCUCUCUCACCCUACUCUAAUAAGGUUUUGAUAUCUGGAGCUCAUAGGUGGGAGACAGCUAAUACAUACUUACAAGACAUUUAUUGCAUAGUCAAACCAUGGAUCCAGAAGAACAAGUCAAUAAGUCAAAUCAAGAUGUGCAUGUGUGGCGAAUGAAUGGUGUAUGGUGACGAUGGUGAUAAUAAUGGUGAAAGUCUAAUUAUACUUUUGCUCUUUUGAGGGGAUACAUACCUUUCUUGCACUUUGAAGCUUUUUGAGGAUAAUGAGAUGCUCUAUAUUUUCUUUCUCUUUCCUCUCAGGUGGGUAUCUUGUACCCCUAAUUCUACUGUCGGACACUUGUCCAUUUUUACCUCUCGUCUCACUUUUUCUUUUCUUUCGAGGUUCCGGGCACUUGCCCCUUUUUAUUUCCUCGUAUUUUUCCUCUCUUUUUUUAGAGCACUCAUCUCCUUAAAUAAUAUAGCAAGUGGUAGUAACCAAGAUAACUCGAGCAUUUAUUUCACAGGGAAUAACAAGGAUAGGAAAAUAUUUUUGGCUAUUCUCUCCCGGAUUAGGAGUAGAAUAAUUUUGAGUGAAUCUAGAGAUGGAAAUGAGUGGAUAUAUGUGGAUGGUACUUCCGGAGUAGAAGUAGCAUGUAUGAGUGAACGUACAAGUGAAUCUUGAUUUUAACCACGUGACAAGCUCCUAAGGGUCUACACAGCUUGACCACACUCAAUGCUCAUAAGCAGUAAAAAGUAAAUGUGUGGCUGUGGUAGGAUUUUAAACUCUCAUCAUAUAGGAACUCAUCAUGUGUUAUUUUAAAGAUUUUUCAAAGAUAAAAUUCUCCAGAAUUCUAGCAUCUCUAGGAACAGAUAAACAGCAGCUCAACCUUCCUAUAUCAUAUCCGUUAACAACUUAGACUUUAGAUCAAGUACUCUUCCCACAAGUUUAGGUUUAGAGCAAAUCUUACUUCAUAACAGUCAUGCCUAAACUUGAGAGAGGUUUCAAUUUUAAGAACUAGUCAUGGCAGAGCAACUAUUCAUCAUUUCCAUGUGAGAUUUUAUCAUGAGGGUUCAUAGCAAACUUUAUUUAUUUAUUUAUUUAGCAAACUAAGCAAAGAUAUAUAUAAAAGCACAAGAUCUUUAUUUGGGUUUUUAUGAUUAUGUAUCUUUUUAUUAUUUGAUUAAAGUAUAAACGCGAGUAGAAAUACUUAGCUGGAUAAAUGAGGGUGCUCUCCCCCAAGCUGGAUUUUGACGUAAUUUCUUCUGAUGUAGCUAGCAGGUGGCAGAGGUGUAUUUGAAAAUCAGCAGCAUUCUAACAGCGAUUAGAAUGUCCUCCGUCUGCUAGUCUUCUUGAUUCUUAAAUCCUGUGGAGCUCAAAUAGACAACAAAGCUUUGUGGAACUGGUUAAGUGUUAGCAUAAAUAUCUAGCCUUUAUCAUGUUGAGCCUCCUCAACAAAUGUUACUUAUUUAGCAGGAUCAUGCACUUAUUAUUUUUAUAUUUUUAUUGUAAGAUGAAAACAUAUUUAUUUUAUGCCACCACAGUGAAUGUACCUAUGGGUUUUAUGCCAUGAGCAUACUCACAUGGGGCUUACUAUUUUUUUAUCAUUUUUAUUUUCUUUUCAAGAUAGCAUGAACCUGAUUAACUAAGCAAAUUAUUGAAAGGAAAAAGAUAACUACCAUGUUUACCUCUUGGCAAGGCGUUCGGUAUUUUUAAGUCCUCCGAACGGGACUCUCCGUUUUCUCAGUCGUCCUGGGAUUUAACUAUCUUCUCUCUCCACACCUGACUCGGUGCUACGGUCUCCUCAGGACAGUUCUGUUCAAGCUAUAUGUCUUCAGACCUUAUCACUUCUCCUUCGUAGUCUGCCCAUUCGUCCUUGAUGAUUUGCCUCAUCUGGUUGCGGUUGCAUCGUCUUCUUGUCUUGAUCUGCUUAGAGUCUUCAACUAUAUAGUUAAGGUUAGUAAAAUAGUGGCGUACAUUCUCAGAGGGGAAAUGCAUGUGGACUUCUCUGGUUCCAUUAUAGAUAAUGGCUUUGAUAGUGUUUGAGGAACGGUCUUCCAAGGAUGAUGGGUGGAUCCUACUCGUCUUCUUCCAUGUUAAUGACCUGAAAAUCAUCUGGAGCUGAAUGUAUAUUGGUUGUAGGGGCAUGGUUCCAUGUAGGAGCAGAUAAGUGACUGCGGCCAUUAUGUUGUCGUUAGAUCCGGUGUCGUAGAGUGUCUUCUGAAAAGAGUAUCCGUUGAUUGUGCACUAGAUGCUUGGAACACCAGGGUCGUUCUUCUUGAUCAAGAAAGGUGACUUGAGUCGACGAUCUUGACCUCCUCUGAUAAGGAUCCAAUGUUUUAAGUCUUCUGGAGAAGACUUCUCACUAUCUUCAUCCUUUAGGUGCACCAUUUGAUUAGGUGUGGACCUUGACGUCUGCACCUCUUGAUACGGUGUCACCUAUAUUCUUUGAUUGCCUAGCUGUUCGUAGUGCGGUGUUGGCAAUAUCCUGCUUAGUGUGUUUGUGCUUGUAAAUCCAGGUCCUUCACUUGGUGGAGUCUGGGAGUUGUAAAACUCCUCCAUGUUUUGUUCGAAGUGUACCUAUUCAUAGAGACAAGGCAGAGAUCAAGUGCAUGGGCCCUGUUGGUGGAAAACACCAACAGAACCAAAAGUGUAUUUGUUCUUCUCUAACCUUAAACAUAGUGAGCAAGACAAAGUUGAUGGAUCAUGAGUGUAGUAUUUAAAACAUUUGUUAGAUCAUAUGGCUCAACCUAAUGGAAAGAUAAUCUAUCUAUAUUUAUGUUUUGUUUAUAUCUUCCAAAGAUUGAAUAUGCAAUAUUUUAGCUUAUAUGUUUAGGAGCGUGGGAUCACGAAGGUAGUACUAAGAACAAAGAUUAAAGGACUAAACAUGUUGAAUUAAUUGGGUUGAUUAAUUUGGAGCUACAAAUCAUACAUGUUUGUCUCUUUAUUCAUGUGAAUGCCAGAACCAAGGAGAAGCUUAUAAAAGCGAUAGUCAAGUACCUUAAGAUGUUACCUUACUUGAAGAGUGACGGUACAGUAUCACCUUGUGGAAGCUUUCCUUUCUUAGCGGUUGUGCAUCGUGUUUGUGGCACCCUCCAUGGAUCAUCUCUUAUGAGCUACGUUUUUCUUGUGCAAAUUGUUAAACUUCAUGUGUCACUUUCUUCAUCUCCAAUGUGAGUUUAUCUCAGGACUUCCCAGGUUGAUAUUGAAAGUUUUCCUGCAGGGGUUAGUCCGACAAAAUAUACCAAUGCCUACUCAAGUAGUUUUUAGUUCAGUAACCAAACUAGACUCCAUGUCUAAUCAGAUUAAGGAAGGCUAUUUAACCUAAGCACCACGCUUAAUUUAAAAUCCAAUAGAAGUAUGUACAGUACUUCCAAACUCACACUUACUAGAAUAAACAAAGGUAGCAUGAUGGCUUAUAGAGAUCUACUUAAGUGGAGAUGAAGUAGUGUGAUUAGUAUUUAACAAAUUGAGCAUGUCUCAAAGGUAGGGACAACCAACAUAGCAACAUGGCAAAUGAUGUUGUAAAGUACUCCCCCAAGCUUGAAUUUUGCAGAAUUCAAGAUUGGAUGAAUUUAAUUCAAUGUUGCAUGAUGAUUGGUUGGACAUACCUUGUGCUUGCCAUUCAUUGGAUCUUCUUGCUCCAAUCCUGGAAAGGUUAGUGUCAAGAAUACCCGAAGGAAUAUUUCUAUAAUUAUCUCAAUAUGCUCAAUACACAAGGCAAUGUUGCAAAUAAUUAGAAGUUCAUGUUACGAUCUGAUAAGUGCUUGUUUAAGGAUGCUAAGCUUAUCCUUGGGAAACCAUCAAGUUAUGUUGGUGAAGUGGUUUCCCCUCCAACACCUACCUAUAUCAAGAUCAACUCAACGAGAUCUGCAAUAUUUAUUAUAGACAUAUGCAUCGACAACCGCCCUUUUAAAGUUUUUAUAAAUAGAAAAUAAGAGGGGGUUGGAGAUCUCAAAUGUGGUAAGGUCAGAGAGACCAAUUGAUUGGGGAGAUGUUUCAUAUGAGCAAGGACUUGAUGAGGUAUUUAUGAAAUAAUUUCCAUGCUCACUGUUGUUUCUCUCAUUCUCAAACUCCAAGGAUGAUUCUUCAUGAAUGCUUAAAAUUCCUCUAGGAUUGUAUCUCAAGUUUGUUUUAUCUAUCCAUUCAAUGGUGAUAGCACAUGGAUUUUUAAUGCCCUCUAGCCAUUGAUGUUGCUCUUCUCGAUCCUCCUUCUUAUGCAUGGGAUGUCUAGAGAGAUUCAUAGGAUUAUCGGGAGGUUCAAGAGAAAAAGCAUAGUAGAAACUAUUAAGCUCAAGGAUGGGAUGGAUAGCCGAAUCAUGAGAUUGAAAUGUUUAGAAAUUGGCUAUUAAAACUUCCUUUCCUCGUCUGGGAGAUGAUUCCUUCUCUAUCUCUAAGAUUUUUCUAUGAAGACUAGUACAAGAAGGAUGUCCACAAAUGAAGACAUACCUUCCUUUACUAAUAGAUAAAGAAAGAAGGACUCUACUAAAGGUUAUGUGAUUAAGACCAAUGUGAAAAUAUCUAGGAAAAACAUGGUCUUGUAGGGCUAGGUCUAAACCAGAAUUUAUAGAAAGAUUAAAAGAUUCCCUAGGUGUAGCUAAAAGUGCAUUAUCUUCUUGAUUAAAAGAUAGGACCUCAGCUAUAGAAAAGGGUUGGUUUUGACCUAUUGCAAUCAACUCCGGACACAGAUCAUAAUUAGGGGCAGGACGUGUUGACUCCCAUGGUCUAUGGCUGGUCUCCGAAGGUGCAAAGAAUUUAAUAAUAGGUAUGGAAUUUAAGUUACCCAUAAAGAUAAAAAUAAAAAGAUAAAAGAAUAAAAGUAUAAGAGUAUAAUACAAGAUAAUAGCAAGACUCAAAGUUAUCUCAGCAAACCGUCUUUCUCCCCGGCAACGGCGCCAGAAAUGCUUGUUGAUAUUUGGUAACGCAAUAAGGAAAUGAUCCGCAAGCGCACGGAUAUCGGUGAGCAUUUCACCCGGGAGGUUAUCCAGAGUUAUCGUAUUUAUAUUUUUACCACUGGGAGAAAGGGUGCAUCUGACUAACCAAAUCUAUUGCUACUAUCCCUUUAGGCUACAAAGAAUGUCUCUCAAUGUGAGUGAUGUAUAGAGAAGACUGCAACCGUAGUCUCGUUCUAACCUUGGUAAGGAUGAUCUACUGUUCUAUUGGGAAGGAUCACGGAAUCUAGACACCACAAAGGAUGUUCGACCCGCACCUAUAAACCCUACCCGUCCUGCUAACAAGAUAUGGAAUACAAAGGUAACUCGGAAAUGUCACAUUCCUCGCUACUACCACGGUCCAGCUAGUCAGGGGAUAUCUAUGAGUACCCUAGCCUAAACACCACGUUUACGCUAGCAAGUGAUUACUCUAAUACUCAACCGGAAGAGGAUUAAAGUAAACUCAUAAACCAAAGAACAAUAAAACAAGAACUUACUAGUAUUAGAAGUCAAAUUACUGAAGAAUCUUAGAAGCAAGCCUCGGGUUAGGAGACUUGAUCCCGCAGGUACAACUCGGAGUAGACACCGACAGGCCGGCCUUCCUCCGAUCUACACCUCCACUCUAUCUCUCUCAAUCUAGUAGAAACUAGAAGAUCUAUUUCUACUUUACAUUGGUUGCUAAGCCUAAAAAGAAAUAUUAUUUAGAGAAGAGGUUUUCCUUCGAGGGCACCCCUCAAUCUCUAUGAUAAUUUCUUGUCUUCUCCAGGGGCCAAAGGGGCCUCCUUAUAUAGUCCUCCUCCUCUAUGUGUUUUUGGGUCGGUAGGCGAGGUGGUACUAUGUUUUCCUUGAUCCAAUAGGUCGGUGGAACAACGUGUGCGAAGAGAGUCCCGAAAGGCAUCCAGAGGGGGGCGGGCGCCCAGGUCACCAGGGCGGGCGCCCUGGGCCUGGCCCCUUUCGGCCUCCGCCUUCUUCCUAUGGCUUCUGGAGUCUUCUAGAUGGUAGAAAAUUGCGCGGUGCGUUGAUAUCUCUAUGUAAUCCCGACAUGUGGGCCUUUCUUCCUUAUUUCCUGAUAACCCCCUGCAGAAAUAGACAAACACCAAAACUCGUGGAAUUCUGUCAGAUAAAACCCUAAGUCUAGAUGUUGAUUUCAUUUGGAUCCUUUUCUUUGUUUAUUUGAUAAUUAAAUUUGAUACUUAAGGACCGUCAACAAUGUACGAUGUCAUGGAAAUUGGCAAACUUAAAGGUCAACUCUCAAAACAAAAACAAGCCACCGAGAACUGCGAGGCAAUGCUGUCCCGUAUGGUGGAAGAGAGGAAUGCCACGAUUGCCCAAGAAGAGGAGGCCAGGAACGCACAUAGGCAUGAGCUGAUCAGAAUGAAGGCGAAGCUGGAUAAAACCAAGUACCUCAAAUAUCUGUACGUGAAGAUGACGGCCACUGUCACCGCGCAGAGAGAUGUUGCGUGGCAGCGGGAGGACCAGCUACAGCUGGAGAAGCUCGAGCUGGCACAUCAUCUAGAUACCAUCAACGAUUUGGCAAUGCAAUACCGUGAUGUUGCAUUUGAUCUAUACCAUCAGUUCCAUCCACCUCCAGGUGAAGGGCAGAUGGGCACGGAUGGAGAGUUGGCGGAUGAUGGGGAACCCGAUCAAGGCCUCAAUGAUGAGGAGGAGUCCGACUCCGAUGACGACAACCCGGGGGGUAAUAAGGAUGAUGGCAAUGACGACCCGGGCUACAGCUCUGGCCACACCGACUAGUUCGGUGAAGCCGUGGGCAACGUCGUUGUUGGAUUCCUAGUCGACCGUAGUGGGGUCGGGUUUGUAGUAUAGUAUCUUUUCUUUUAAAAGUUGUACUCAUUUAUUCCUAGUGUGUUGAACUGAUGUUUAAUAAAUAAAUGGAAGUAUGUAAGAUAUGUUGUAAGUUAUGAAUUCCCUGUGAUAACAAGUACAUAUGAUUCUUGUAGCAGAUGCCGAUGCGUACCUGUGGAUCUGACGGAGCCGGGUCCUCUCAGGGAGGGGAUGAUAUCCCCAACCCUCCACCUGCUCCGCCUUCUCUGGCUGAUGCCAUUGCUCUUCUUUUGAGUGCCACUACCGACAACGCUCGCUUGUUGCAUGAGUUAGCACAAUGUCAACCACACCCCGCCCCAAACUUCAGAGCACAGCACAAUGGGGAUGGAGAAACUCAGUACGUGGACUUUACCGAGACAAGGCCCCCGGUAUUCACUAAGGCUGAUGAGCCUUUAGAAGCUGAUGACUGGCUCCGAACAAUGGAGCACAAGUUCAGUCUGAUCCGAUGUUCGGAAACUCAGAAGCCCCUGUUCGCAGCUCAACAGCUUCGGGGAGCUGCAGGUGCCUGGUGGGAGAACUUCGUAGCUAUCCAAGCUCCAGGACACCAGGUCACCUGGACAGAGUUUAAGGACGCGUUCCGCGCCCAUUACAUCCCUGAAGGGCUUAUGCCCAUGAAGGCCGAAGAGUUUCUCGCCUUGCAGCAAGGUGAUAAGAGUGUCAUGGAAUACGUGGCAAAAUUUAAUCACCUCUCUCAGUACGCCACGGACCAUGUGAACACGGACAGAAAGAAGAAGGCCUGUUUCAUGCAUGGUCUCAAUACCAAACUUCAGACAAUGAUGACCACAUGUCAAAAUGCUACCUUCGACGAGGCGGUAAAUAUUGCUAUCGCCUCAGAAGAAAAGAAUAGAAAGCACAAAGAAGCCAAGAAGAAGGCUGCUUCUUCCUCCUUCUCUGGUCGCGGUCAAAAGCGCCAGAGAAUCAUUUAUCAUCCGCAGGGCCACGGACGCUUUUCAGCACCGCCACCUUAUCGUGGUCCUUUUUCCCCUCCACAAUAUAGACUAGGGCAGCAGGUAUAUCCUCGACCUACUGCCAUCGCCACUGCACCACGCCAGCCGAACGCCCCAGGUGUUCGCCCCACUGCUCCGCCCAACCGCAAUUAUCCUUGUUUCAAUUGUGGUAAGCCUGGGCAUUUUUCCAAAGAGUGCCCCUACCCCCGCCAAACCAACCCCACUUUCCAAAGGCCACCCAUGGGCCAACCCCAGCUGAGCCAAUUCAGGACUAGGGCUCAGAAAGGACAAAAUGUGCAAAGGGGUAAACCAGCGAAGAAAGUGGGACAAGUCUUCCAUACAGAGGUGGAGACGAUCCCGAAGGGUGAACCAGUAAUGAUGGGUACGUUUCCUGUUGCGAAACAUCCUGCUUUAAUGCUUUUCGAUUCUGGUGCACCUCAUACAUUCAUCAAUCGCACCUUUGUGAUAAAGCAUGGCAUACCCAUUGGGGAAACACAAGAUCAUUUUUAUAUACAGUCGCCAGGAGGACGGCUGAGUUCUAAAGAAAUGGUUCACCAGAUACCCAUCGAAUUUGGUGGGCAUAGUUUUCCCACUAGCAUGAUUGUUCUUAAAGACAAGAAGAUUGAUGUCAUACUAGGCAUGAACUGGAUGGCACAACGAGGGGUUGUGCUAGACACUUUGCAUCGAACCAUUAAAAUACCAUUGCUCAAUGAGAAUUCUUAUCUGCUAAUUCAAUUAGUUACUCCCAAACGGGCAAUUGGGCAAGUUCAUGCCACUAAUGUGUCUGCAGUCAAAAAUAUCCCGGUAGUUCGGGAUUUUCUGGAUGUAUUUCCUGAAGACCUACCAGGUCUGCCACCGGACCGGGAUGUCCAGUUUAGUAUAGAGUUAAAACCAGGGACAGCCCCAAUAUCUCGAAGGGCCUACCGUAUGGCACCAAAAGGACUGGCCGAAUUAAAAACCCAACUACAAGAGUUGAUGCAAAAAGGUUUUAUUCAGCCCAGCUCCUCUCCAUGGGGUUGCCCAGCCUUAUUUGUGAAAAAGAAAGAUCAAACAUUAAGGCUGUGUGUCGAUUAUCGUCCCCUGAAUGAGGUGACGAUUAAAAACAAGUACCCAUUGCCCCGUAUUGACUUACUAUUUGACCAGUUAGCCGGGGCCAAGGUAUUCUCAAAAAUUGAUUUGAGAUCAGGGUACCACCAAAUUAAAAUUAGGCCGGAAGAUGUACCCAAAACGGCUUUUACAACCCGUUACGGGCUGUAUGAAUACUUGGUAAUGUCUUUUGGGUUGACCAAUGCACCGGCCCAUUUCAUGUACUUGAUGAACUCUGUCUUCAUGCCAGAACUAGACAAAUUCGUGGUCGUCUUCAUCGAUGACAUCUUGAUUUAUUCCAAAACUAAGAAAGAACAUGCUGAACAUUUGAGAAUUGUGCUGACUCGCCUCAGGGAGCAUCAACUAUAUGCCAAGUUCAGCAAAUGUGAGUUCUGGCUGGACAAAAUUCAUUUCCUGGGUCACGUAUUAUCAGCGGACGGAGUCGCUGUAGACCCAGGUAAAGUAGAAGAUGUGUUGAAUUGGAAGCCCCCGACUACGGUACAUGAGGUCCGUAGUUUUCCUAGUAUGGCGGGAUAUUACCGUCGCUUUAUCCCGAACUUUUCAAGAGUCGCCAAACCAAUCACGACCUUGCUCAAGAAUCAAAAAAAAUUUGUUUGGUCACCUCAAUGUGAGCAAGCCUUUCAGACUCUGAAAAGGUUAUUGACAACUGCACCUGUCUUAGCCUAGCCAGAUAUUGAAAAACCCUUUGAUGUGUAUUGUGACGCAUCAGGGAUUGGGAUAGGUUGUGUGCUAACGCAGGAGAGUCGAGUAAUUGCAUAUGCUUCCAGACAGCUUAAACCACAUGAAGAGAAUUACCCAACCCAUUAUCUUGAACUAGCCGCCGUAGUACAUGCAUUAAAGAUCUGGCGCCAUUAUCUGUUGGGGAACACUUGUCAUCUAUACACGGAUCAUAAGAGCUUGAAAUACAUUUUCACUCAAGCUGAACUGAAUAUGCGCCAGCGAAGGUGGCUAGAGUUGAUCAAGGAUUACGACCUUGAGGUGCAUUAUCACCCUGGCAAGGCGAAUGUAGUAGCUGAUGCCCUCAGUCGUAAGGCCCAAUGUAAUUGUUUAACAGUGACGCCUAAAGACAUAACUUUGUGCCAAGAGCUAGAGAACUUGGGGAUAGACAUGAUUUCCCAAGGAAGCCUUGCCAAUCUAAAGAUUGAUUUCAAUCUUGAAGCUCAAAUCAUAAAGGCACAAAAAGAGGAUAAAGGCAUGAAAUAUCGUAAAGAGAAAAUUUCUAAUAGAGCACCCACACAAUUUGUCUCCCAGUUCUGGAAAUGUUUACAUGAAUCCUUGGGCACCAAGCUUUUAUACAGCACGGCCUACCACCCUGAAACCGGUGGGCAAACUGAAAGGGUGAAUCAAACUCUAGAAGAUCUAUUAAGAUCUUGUGGCCUGAAUUUUCUGGAUAAGUGGGAUGACUGCUUGCCUCUAGCAGAGUUUUCCUACAACAAUAGCUACCAAGAAAAUAUUAAGAUGGCUCCCUUUGAGGCACUAUAUGGCCGUCGAUGUUGAACUCCGUUACACUGGUCAAAACCUGGAGAAAGGUGGUUCUUUGGGGUUGACUUAGUGAAAGAGACUGAGAACAAAGUUAGACAAAUCCAAAAUAACUUGAAAGUUGCUCAGUCCCGACAGAAAAGCAAUGCCGAUCAAAGACGUCGACCAUUAAGGUUCGCCAAGGGUGAUCAUGUGUAUUUGAAAGUAUCCCCAAUGAAAGGAGUAAAUCGUUUUGGCGUUAAAGGCAAGUUAGCGCCCCGUUACAUUGGUCCAUUUCUAAUCAUUGACCGAUGUGGACAGGUAGCUUACCGCCUGAAACUGCCCGAGCGGUUAUCCGGGAUACACAAUGUAUUUCAUGUGUCUCAACUGAAAAAGUGUCUUCGAGUAUCGGACCAGGUUCAAGAUAUCAAAGAUGUGGAACUUAAACCAGAUCUAACUUAUGCGGAGUAUCCUAUCCGAGUAUUGGACCAAAGAGAUAGAGUUACUCGAAGAACAACUACCAAGUGGUACAAGGUACAGUGGAACCAGCACUCUGAAGAGGAAGCCACAUGGGAAUCUGAAGAUUACCUAAUGGAGAAUUUUUCGGAGUUCCACGCUUCUCUUCAAGACAACAUCUGAUAAAUAGGAAGUGUACUCUAUUGAAGGAAAAGAGUAGCCAAAGCCAUGUACUUAGUGCACAUAUAUGUUUAUGUUUGAGUAGUCUUCCCCAGCUUCUUGUCUUAUGAAAAGGUUGAAGAUGAAAUAGUUUGACAAAUUUCCUUUUCCAUUACGUAUCCUAAGAUUUUAAAUCUCGGGGACGGGAUUUCUUUAAGGGGGAAGGGCUGUAACAUCCCCGAUGUUACGGUUACUAAAACUUGAUCAUGUCAUCAUGAUCAUUGCAUCGCAUACCUGCUAAGCACCUUAUUAUGCAUCAACUUAAAACAAAUUUAUUUUGAUUGGUUGUGCUUAGGGAAUGAAAGUGUGCUCACAUUGUGUAUUGAUGCUUGUGUUGGUUGCUAAAACCCUAGGGUGAAAGAUUUCCGAAAGAUUAGGGGGGGAAAACCCUGAUUUUAGAACCAUAGAUUUGCCCCCUUUUGUGUAACUUAAAAACUAAGCAAAAUUUGGGGAUGAAUUCAAAAGCAAAAGUGUAGAUCUUGUCAAGAUGUACAACUUUGGUGUUUUGAGUUUUUGAAGUUUCAUUACAAAAUUCAAAGUAAUUUUGAAAAUACAGAUUUCCAGAAAGUGUCCCCUUUUCCAAUUUGAAUCUCCAAUUCAAAAUCUAUUUGGAAUUUUGAAAAGUGACCAACAUGAAAGUUGUAGAGCUCAAAAAGCUGAACAACUUUCAUGUUGGGAGUUUUUCAAGUUGUUCAGGAAAAUCAAAGGUAAUUUUGGAAAUUAUGUUUUGCCCUAAUUCAAAAAUUUGAAUUUUCCUAAAUUGAGAUUUUAAUUUCAAACUUUCUGGUCAAAUUCACCAAUUUCCACUCAGAUUCAGCUUUGGUCACCAAAAGGAGUUUUGUAGCUUGUAAAAUUCUGCACAACUUUGGUUUUAACAGAUUUUGGACUUUAAUUCAAAAUUUGGUCGAAUUUUGCAAAAAACAGAGAAGAGGGGAUAAGGGACAGCUACAGUGACCCGAUAGGGAUCACGGCGCCCUGUCCAGCGCGGCCGCCGCGCGCGCAGCACCACGUGCGCGCGUGCAAGCACGCAGCCUGCUUGCCUGCCUGUGUCGCCAGGCGACGUGGAAGCCGGGCGUCUCCUCCGUUCGCAAUAUAAGCCUCUCCACCGGCCGACAUGCCCCUUUUGUUUCCCUCACGCCCGACGCUGGUGAACUUUGUCGGCCUCAAAAUUCAUCGUGUCCACUCCCUUUCCGAGCCACCUUAGCACACCAGCAGCUCCGCCCUGAGCUCCGCCAUCGUUUGCGCCCCUGAGCGCAAGCGCUAACCCCUCCUAGCCCGCAACCGAGCCGUUUCUCUCCCGACUCCGGCCGAAGCGCCGCCGCGAGCACCUCACCGCGGCUAGGCCUGCUCUGAGCUCCUCUACUGCCAUCGUUUGCUUCGCUGAAAUCGCGGUGAGCCACCGAUAUUUAUGCGCUAUCCAAUUCGCGCUCUACUCGCUCGUAGUGGCCGGCGUUUGCUCGGCCGAGGUGGCCGUCCGCCGCGCCCGUGGCCGUGGGAGCUAGACUAGGAGAGAGCGCGUGUUUAGGGGGUCCAGAGGUGCGCCAUGGAGUGGAGGACGCGACCAACGAGUCGCGAGGGGCGAAGAUGGCGCGGAUGGCUCGGUCGUGCCGUUGAUUCGGCCGGCCGGAGCUUGAAGACGAAGCUGACAGUGGGGGCCCGCUGUCAGCGACGCCGUGAGUGGAGGCGAGGGCGCGCGCAGCGCCCGCGCGGGCCGAGCGCGGACGGGCCGGCCUGCGGGCCGAGUUCCUAGGCUGCUCGCGGCAUAGUGUUGUUUUCCUUUUUCUGUUUAUGCCAAAUUUGUUGUAUGUUUGAAUUUGAAUAGAAAAUCAUGUACUGAUCCAAAAAUGAUGAAACUUUUUGUGUAGGUUCCAUAAAAUAAAUAGAACAUAGGAAAAGUAUUAGGUUCUAUUUUCUGGUUGUUUGCGUGUGUAUAAAAAUUGCCUCUUUUAAUUAGUAAAUAAAACUUCUAUGAAUUUUAAUAAUUUAUUGAUAUGUCCAAAAAUCACCAAAAUUUGGGGGAUGCCUCUGAAUAUUAUUCCCUGGCUCCACACAAAAUUUGGUGGUAUUUGGAUAAUGUUGGAAUAAAAUAUUAUUAAACCCUUAAUUAGUAAUUAAAUAAUAAUUCUAGGAUAAUUAGGUAAUAAUUAGUUAAAUUCUCAAAAUUAGGGUUUGAGUGAUUUUGGGAUUGUGUGAGUACCUGAGGUCAUUAACCCUAAUGACCUUUGGCAUUUAAUUAUUGUUUGGCAUCAAUGCUUAAUUAUUGUCAUUAAUACUUAAUUAAUAAUUAAUCAAGGUAAAAGGAAUUAAUAAUUAGUUAAUUAAGAAUAAUUAUGAAUUAAGAGAAAUCUUGAUUUACAGAUGCAACCUCUUGGGUAAAGAUACUAAGAUAUUAAACAACUUUAAUUGUUGUUUAGUCUGUAUUGCACCAAGAAGGCCAUUUGUACUUAACUCGGUCCUUCUUAAAUAUUUGUCAUAUGCAUAUCAUGAGCAUUCAUCAUUUUGCGUAUAGUGCAUGUGACCGAAGGAGCAACCGUUGAACCGAACCCCGAGGUCGGUGCUCCGUUCGAGGAAGUAGGAUCCGAGACUUGGGAAGUCUCCGAGGAACCCUCUCAGCUCUGCAACCAAGGCAAGCCCCGGAUGCAUUAACCCCUCCUUGAAUGUUUUUAAAUCUUUUAUCACUUAUGAAUUGAAAAUGCUGCAUUAGAUAGUUGAGAAUUGGGAUAACCUACUUGCUGCAUUUACUACCUUGAUUUUUGUUAUCUUGUCCUUUGCACUAGUUAUAUUUUAAAAUCGCGUAGUAAUGCUUAGCCCUGCUAUUAGAUAGGUUUCCAAAACAAGAAAGUUUGAAGGGUUGUUGUGGAAUACACUUAUGUUCAAUGAUGUUUCAACUUGAGACUGGUCGGUGGACUUGCUUUAAAAAUAGAGUCUUAAAGUAGUGUCUCCAACUGUGUCGGUUAAGGACCGGUCCGUUGAUGGCCUGCUGGGUUGAGAAUUUAUAGUACUAGCCACUUGCCCUCGGCAAGCCCAAUCUUGUGAUCCCUCGAUGCGAACAGCUACUCGCGCACUGGGCGUGGAGCGAUGGCGAGAGUAGUUUGUACCCACCUUACGGAUCUGAGAUGACCAGGAAACAUCUAGAUCGGCUAUAGGAUGGUGGAGUACUGUGCUCUCGGGUGCCGCGAACCUAGUCAAAUCUGGGGAGAGCUAGAUUUGGGUUGACAUAUGCAAGAUUUGGUUCUACAUAUGUCGGGUGGUUAGGAACUCCAGCUGGAUUGCUAAGCGAUUCGAAUCGUCGUUGCUCCCCGAUUGGGAGACUCAAUUCCUUCGACCCUCAUCGUAGAUAAUUAUGCAACUAAGUGAUAAAAUGAGAAAGGGGAAAAUGUCUCAUGAGGUUCGGAUCCCAAUUCCCAGACUCAGAGUGACAUGAAGCUAUGGCCGUUGAACAGAAAAUACUUUGAUUAAGGACUAAGAACUCACAGACCUGUCUGUGAGAAGCAACUAGAUAGACUGUCAUCGAACUCGUCGGCCUCUUAAGGAGAGGAAUUCGCGGGUAAAACUUGAAAGUAAGGAUGCACUAUUAGUAAGCUUUUUAGCAAAACCCUUUGGCUCCUUGCUCAGCCACCCCUUGACUACCCUAAGCCUGCAUUCCUACUUUCUCCUCUUUUUCCACCGGGUAAGUCUUGUUGACUACUUCUGUACUCAGGGUUUUAUAACCCCUGUUGCAGGUGAAGCUCAGGAGCCGACAUGUUUCGGACCCUAUUGUGUGACCGUCGUCGAGGUUGACGACGAGGAAGAGUGAGCGUGACCCAUGGGCAGGGUCUGUAAAUUUGUAAUCUGUGUACUGAAGUUUAAGCUGCUCCGCUGGACCUGGUUUGUAAUAACACUCUACUAUUUGGAAGAACUACUUUUGUAAAUUAAGUUAUGUAAUACUUCCGCUGUUUUACUCUAAAAUAUUAUUUUGGUCUUAUGUCGUUUGUGAUACUGCAAUGUCUUUGCAACGAGUGAUCCUGGUGUUAAGGUGGCCACUUGCUAUCCGGUAAGGGCGAGGAGAAGAAAUUUUCGUUAAUUGACCAUUGCUGGUGGUCAAGACGAGCUUGUUUGAUACGCCCCAGGUAGCGGUGGAACGAGCGUCCUAAGAUGCUCAUCGGACUUCUAGAGUGGGAGGAUCCCCGGCAUCACCGUCAGAGGUCCUUGGGACAAUGACAGGUGUCGGUGGGCCCAAACACUUAGGAGGUUUUGCCACACAUAAGCAAUAUAUUGAAGUAGAACAAAGUCAUAUUCAUAAUAUUGAAGAACAAAGAUAAUUAGAAGAGCAAUUAGGAGCACAAUUAGAGAAUUACCAAGAAUCCUCUUGACAGAUUCGGAAACCAAUCGAAGAUUGACUCCUUCUAGUUCUAAUCCUAUGUAGCUAUGCUAAUCUAGAUGUCUAAUUGAUGUGGUGGCUCUAAUCUUGAUCAGAUGCUUCUUCUCCCUUGAGAAUAAUGAAUUAGGGUUGAGAGGCUCUCUCCUCUAGGGGCCAGGGGGUCUGGUUUUAUAGUCCCUUCAAGUGAAUAUGGGCCGUUGGAUCAAACCGACAUUGAUUGAACGGUUAUCCUUGAUCCUUUAGGUCGGUGGAGAUCUUCCCCGAAACAGAGUCCUAAUUGGACUCAGAGAGGGGGCGGGCGCCCAGGGCAACUGGGUGGGCGCCCAGUCCCUGGCUUCGUUCGGGCUCCGCUUCCUUCCCGUGGCUUCUGGAGUCUUCUGGAUGUAAGAUAAUUACGCGGCAUGUUGAUAUCUCUAUGUAAUCCCGAUGUGUGGGCCUUUCUUCCGUAUUUCCUGAUAACCCCCUGCAGAAACAGACAAACACCAAAACUCGUGGAAUUCUGUCAGAUAAAACCCUAAGUCUAGAUGUUGAUUUCAUUUGGAUCCUUUUCUUUGUUUAUUUGAUAAUUAAAUUUGAUACUUAAGGACCGUCAACGGUGCAUACCUCCAGCUCUCUUGCGUGUCUGGGUCCUUUCUUCAUUCCAGCUUUGGUUGGAUGCCAUCUUCUCCACAAGAGUUGUGGCUUGUGAUAUAGUGAGUGAUAGGAAUGCUCCUCCAGCUGCAGCAUCCAUGGUCUCUCGGGCACUGUUGCCGAGCCCAUGAUAAAACGUUUGCAUCAGUAGCCAGCUCUCCAUUCCAUGAUGGGGACAUUCUAGGAUGUAGUCUUGGAAGCGCUCCCAUGCUUCCGCAACAGAUUCAUCAUGUUGUUGCUGAAAACUUGUAAUUUUCCCACAGAGAGCAUUGGUCUUGCCCAUGGGAAAGUACUUAGCCAGAAAGUUCGUGGAACAGAGUGCCCACGUAGUAUUCUUCUCCUUUGUAGCGUAGAAUCACUACUUCGCUCUUCCUAAUUGUGAAAAUGGAGAGAGGUGAAGUAGUAUAGCAUCUCUGGGGACUCCUAAUAUGGUGAACAUGCUGCAAAUCUUAGCAUCUUCGUGUGCCUUCCCACAGAACUGGUUGGAUUGCACCAUGUUGAUAAGUCCAGGCUUGAGCUCAAAGUUGCCAUCGAUCUCUGCGGCAGGUCCAGUACGGAUGUUGUCCGUAGUGGGAGCUGAGAACUCGCGGAUCGAUUUGUUCGCCAUGACUUCGAACUCUGAGGACAAGUUCCAGGUGAAACUUCGGUGACCUUCUUGAUUGGAUGAAGCUUCGUGCUGAAGUGUUGAUGAUCUCUUCUUGAGCUUGGCUCUUGUUUUUCUGAAUAAUGCUUCAGGAUUGUCAACAAAAUUUCCUAAAAGAUGUCUUCUAUUCAUACAUUACCCUGCAUAAAAUAAAAUAGAAAAUAAUAGGGUCAACCUUCCCCAGCAACGGCGCCAAAAAAGCUUGUUGGGCAUUCUUAACGUCACUACCAAAAGUAGACUUAGUUCUCUAAUUUUGAUAACGGCGCCACAAAUGCCAAAUAUAUCCCUCAUGCCACUUAAGCCAAGUUGUCAUCCCCAGCAUGACAUGAAAGACGCGGUAUUGAAAUAUGCAAUUGCUCUUCUAAAUAAAUAACAAAUAAGAUCUGCAAGCGCACAGAUUAAUACCGAUGUAGCAUUUUAACCGGGAAGUAUUCCAGGUAUCGUUAUUAUAUUUUACCACUAGGAAGGGAUUGCUAAACAUCAAUGUUGAUUAUAGAAUGGAAUAUAGAAUUGAGUAUCUAUCAUUGCAUGUAUAAUUGAGAACAUUUAUCUAUCUCUUUCAUACAGGGAUAAGUGUCACAUAGAGGAUAUAUAUAAAGUAAUGAAUGGUGACAAAGAUAAUUAAUCUGAUCAGUAUAACUUUGCCACAUAUAAAUAUGAUAAGCACCUCAAUUAGAUAUUCUAGCAAGUCAUUAGCAUGGAAUUAGGACGAACUACAAGAAUAUUUCCUAAGUUAUUCUCAACUAUACAGUCUAGCAUAUCAUAGUUAGUGCAAUUAUACUUAGCAAUCAUUGCAAGACAGGACUACGCCCAUGCAUAGUGAUAUUAUCAAGGAAUAUGAGAAACAUCACAAUCACUCCACUGUAAUAGUGUUGCUCUGCCAGCUCUAUACACGAGAGGGGGACUAUAUAAGAAUCAAUGGAGCUGUCACUACCACGAACUACCCCACGAUCUAGCAUAUAGAGUACAAUCGCAGAUAAAUACGGUAUAAGCACCACGCCUACACAAUAUCUAUCAUUUACCCAUGGAUCCGAUGGAUAAACGCUAUACGAUCCUAAACAUGUAUAUAAUUCCAAUUUAACUAAGCCAAGUAUAUAACUAUGAUAAACUAAGAACAAUAUAAUUGCGAAUAUAAACAAGUAGAGCAAAGUCAUAAUCAAUAUAUUGAAGUAGAACAAAAUCAUAUUCAUAAUAUCGAAGAACAAAGAUGAACAAGAGAGAAUUACCAAGAAUCCUCUUGACAGAUCCGGAAACCAAUCGAAGAUUGACUCCUUCUAGUUCUAAUCCUAUGUAGCUAUGCUAAUCUAGAGAUCUAAUUGAUGUGGUGGCUCUAGGGCUUGAUCAGAGGCUUCUUCUCCCAAGAUGAAUAAUGAAUUAGGGUUGAGAGGUGCUCUCCUCUAGGGGCCAGGGGUGGCCGUCGGAUCAAACCGACAUUAAUCGCACGGUUUUGCUUGAUCCUUUAGGUCGGUGGAGCAUGAUCCACGAAGUUGAAGCUGAUUGGUGGAGAGGCCAGGGCCGGCGCCCAAGGGGGGAGGGCGGACGUCCUGCCCCCGAGCCCGUUCGGUCUCCCGUUCGUUCCCGUGGCUUCUGAACUCUUCUAGAUGUAGGAUAAUUGCGCGGCACGUUAAUAUCUCUAUGUAAACCCGACGUGUGGGCCUUUCUUUCGUAUUUUCUCAUAACCCCCUGCAGAAAUAGACAAAACCAAACCUCGUGGAAUUCUGUCAGAUAAAACCCUAAGUCUGGAUGUCGGUUGCAUUUGGAUCCUUUUCUUUGUUUAUUUGAUAAUUAAAUUUGAUACUUAAGGACCGUCAAUAGGCGUUACCAAUUAUCAACACCGAGCUCCGGGUCGAGGUAAUGGAGACUCCGAGCCUUCCUUUUCGUUCUCUACCAUGCUCUUUUGCUCUCACAUCGGUGUCAAACGUUGCAGAGCUUCUCCAACCUGCCAUCGCGCGAUAGAGCUGGAGAUAAGAAAGAAGUUAUGCACAUCUACGACUCUCACAUGACUUGUGAGGAGUGUGGAGAUACUGGACACUCAGGCAAUCACUGCCCUAAGAUGCUUGAGGAUGUGAACUACAUCAACAACAACAACUACUACUACUACAACCGUCCUCAACAUAAUCACGGUUGGAAUCAACAGAGGCCUAACUACUCAGGUAAUUAUCAAGGUAACAAUUCUUACAACAAUAAUAAUAAUUUUCCACCUCUAAGAGAGUUAGUGUCUAAUCAAGGAAAGCUAAUGGAUAACCUAUCUAAGAAAUUGGCAUCUAAUGAUAAAAUGCUAGAAAAUAUAAAUAAUAGAAUGGAUAAUUUCUCUACUGUCAUCAAGAAUCAAAUUAGCUUUAAUAAAAUGAUUGAAUCUCAGUUAAAUCAAAUAGCUGUUGCUGUUCCUGCUACUAACCCCGGUAUACCAUCACAACCGGAAGGAUUAGAAUCUGCAAAUCUUGUAGACAUGUUUGAUGCAGGUAACUACUAGAGUAACCCCAUCACUGAAGUUACCACUAACCUUCUACCGGUCAAGAGAGGCGAUCCAAGACGCCCCGUCAUCACGAUCUCCAUCGGCAUGGUGGACUUACCAGAAGCACUCUGCGACUUUGGCUCUAGUGUCAACAUUAUGCCCAGGGUACUCUAUGAAAAAUUCUUUACAUAUCCUUUAUUAGAAACAACCAUGUGUUUGCAGCUUGCAGAUCAGACACUAAGUUUCCCAAAGGGAAUAUUGAAGAACCAUUGCAUCCGAGUUGGUACCUUGUACGCCCCAGCAGACUUCGUGGUGAUAGAGACCGGUAAUGAUGAGAGGGCACCCGUUAUCUUAUGGAGGCCAUUCUUGAACACCUCGGGAGCUGUCAUCUACGCUAGUGCUGCCAAGAUUAGUUUCUACAUCAAAGGGAGAAAGGAGACGUUUUCCUUCAAGAACAAGACUACAUAAAUCCUAGAGCAAUCCCGACAUGAACCAAGGAAGAGGACCAAUAGGAGGAACAGGAACAAGCAAGUGUGGACCGAGUCAGCUAAGAUGGUCACUGCAGUUCAACGAGGUCAAGAUCAUCGAGUUAAGUCACCGUUUCUGACCAAGAAGGACGACCUAGGAAUGCCAAGCAUUCAUUGCUCCAUUAAUGGGUACAACUUCUACAAGACACUUUGCGACACCGGAUCGGGCGUCAACAUAAUGGCCGCAGUCACCUAUCGGCUCUUGUUUAGAACCAUUCCCUUAAAACCAACAUAUAUUCAGCUCCAGAUGGCAGAUUAAACAUUCCGAAAGGCUGAAGGUAUAGUAACUGAUGUCCCUAUCAAAAUAGACGAUCAUUUUGUCCUUACAGACUUUCAGGUUAUUGACAUGGGAGAAGACGAGUACGAUCCACGCAUCAUCCUUGGGAGACCAUUCCUCAGCACCGUUAAAGCAAUUAUCUACAUUGGAACUGGAGAAGGCCAUAUUCACUUCCCCUCAGAGAAUGUACGCUGCUAUUUUACUGACCCUAACUAUAUAGUUGAAGACUCUAAGCAGGUCAGGACAAGAAGAAGACAACGCAACCGCAACAAGAGGAGGCAAAUCAUCAGGGAUGGAUGGGCAGACUACGAAGGAGAAGUUGUAAGGUCUCAAGACAUACAACUUGAACAGAAUUAUCUUGAGGAGACUAUAGCACCGAGUCAGGUGUGGAAAGAGAAGAUAACUAUAUACGAAGAUGAGGAGCCGUCGGAAGCACCGACUACGCCACCCAACGAAUCCCAGGACAACUAAGAAAACAGAGAGUCCCAUUCGGAGGACUUAAAGACACCAAACGCCUUGCCAAGAGGUAAACUUGGUAGUUAUCUUUUUUCCUUUCAAUUAUUUCAAAUAGUUUACUUAGUUAAUUAUGUUUGUACUAUCCUAAAAAGAAAAUAAAAAUGUUAAAAACAGUAAGCCCCAUGUUAGUAUACGAGUGGCAUAAAACCCAUAAGUACAUUCACUGUGGUGGCAUAAAAAUAAAAUAAAUAUUUUUCUACUCUAUAAAAAAUGAAAAUAUAAAGAGAGUAACAUUUAUUGAGGAGGCUCAACAUGAUAAAGGCUUGAUAUUUAUGCUAACACCUAAUCAGUUCCACAAAGCUUUGUUGUCUAUUUGAGCUCCACAAAAUUUAAGGAUCAAGAAGACUAGCAGACGGAGGACAUUCUAAUCGCUGUCAGGGUGUUGUCGACUUUCAAAUAUACCUCUGCCACUUGCUAGCUACAACAGAAGAAAUUACGUCAAAAUUCACCUUGGGGGAGAGCACCCCCAUUUAUCCCGCUAAGUAUUUCUAUCUAUCUACAUUUAUACUUAUACUUAUAUUAAAAUAUAAAUAUACAUAAACAUGAAAAACCAAAUAAAGAUUUUGUACUUAUAUAUAUAUAUCUUUUGCUUAGUGUGCUUAAUAAAUAAAUAAAUUGACUAUGCUAAACUGAAUCUUAAUAAUAAAACUCAAGCAUGGAUAUGAUGAAUAGUUGCUCUACCUAAUUUUCAAAUUUGAAGUUCUCUCAAGUUUAGACAUAACUGUUAUAAUUUAAAGCUUGCUCUAAACCUGAACUUGUGGGAAGAGAACUUGAUCUGAUGUCUAAGUUGUUAACGGAUAUGAUAUGGGAAGGUUGAGCUGCUGUUUAUCUGUUCCUAGAGAUGCUAGAAUUCUAGAGAAUUUUAUCUUUGAAAAUCUUUAAAAUAACACAUGAUGAGUUCCUAUAUGAUGAGAGUUUAAAUCCCUACCACAGCCAUAUAUAUACAUGCUUGCUAGACUUUGAGCCACACAUUUACUUUUUUAUUGCUUAUGAGCAUUGAGUGUGGUCAAGCUGUGUAGACCCUUAGGAGUUUGUCAUGUGGUUAAAUCAAGAUUCACUUGCACGUUCACUCACAUAUGCUGCUUCUACUCCGGAAGUACGCAUCCACAUAUAUCCACUCAUUUCCAUCUCCAGAACCACCCAAAAAAAUUCUACUCCUAAUCCGCGAGAGAAUAGCUAAAAAUAUUUCUGUUUUUCCCCUGUGAAAUAAAUGCUCAAGUUAUCUUGGUUACUACCACUUGUUAUAUUAUUUCAAGAGAUGAGUUCUUUAAAAAAAGAGAAGAAGAAAAAAAAGAGAUACGAGGAAAUAAAAAGGAGCAAGUGCCCGAAACCUCGAAAGAAAAGAAAAAAGUGAGACGAGAGGUAAAAAUGGACAAGUGUCCGACAGUAGAAUUAGGGGUACAAGAUACCCACCUGAGAGGAAAGAAAAAGAAAAAAAUAAAGCAUCUCAUUCUUCUCAAAAAGUUUCAAAAGAGCAAGAAAGGUAUGUAUCCCCUCAAAAGAGCACAAGUAGAAUUAGACUUUCACCAUUGUUAUCACCAUCAUCACCAUACACCAUUCGUUCGCCACGCAUGCACAUCUUGAUUUGACUUAUUGACUUGUUUCUCUGGAUCCAUGGUUUGACUAUGCAAUAAAUGUCUUGUAAGUAUGUAUACUUUAUCUCCCACCUAUGAGCUCUAGAUAUCAAAAGCCUUAUUAGAGUAGGGUGAGAGAGAAGGCAAUGUCACUAUGCCUCAUACCACAAAUACCACAAAUUUUGAGAGAGAAGGCAUAUACCAUCACUGCCUUGGUAAGGAUCCAGAAAUAACCCAAAAGAGAGAUCUGAGAGAGUCAUACAAGGAAUCUCUGAGUUUUAUUUGAAAAUCUUCAAAAACUCCAGAGCAUAGCUGAUCAAGAAUAAGAGACAUGGCACUUGAUUAGACCGUUCUAUCUUUUAACUGCUCAAGACAAAAGUGACGGUUACAAGUCCCAUGGUGAAAGGUAAAAUGAGUAAGUUUUAAGUCUUGACAGUUUACUCUAACUCAGAGAUGAGACCUCAUUUAAAAGCAUGUGUACCGUCAAUUUUUGAAAAGGCAUUACAGCAACUUCUGAUCUAUUACUGAGUUUAUCCUUCCUCAGUGUAAUACUCGAUUUUAAGGACAAAAUCAGAUACGCACCAUAUGUGAGUUUUAGAAGUCAAAUCCCACAUAUAGCUACAAAUAAAGGGUAAUAUCAAAAGACAAUGCAUAAAAUAUAUAACGUACGUAGAAUAAAAGAGAUAACCUUUAAUAGCAAACAGCGGAUAGACAACUCCAACUUCGGGUAUUAACUUCUCUCUACAGGAUCCAACUGACUGGUUGAUCACAAGCCUAAACUUCUCCUGAGGGUUGGGGAAAAUAGCAAGAGUGAGUCCAUGUCGAACUCCACAAGUAUAGCAACUAGAUUGUAUAGCUCUCACAAUCUCAUGAUCAAUGUGACCUAAAUAAUGUAGAGUAUUAAACAAUAAACAAUGAGCAUAUUUAACACAUAAGAUUCAUCACCCUUAAUUUAGAUGUCCCCAAGGCCACUCCUGACCGUGAGCUCGGCUAGUAUACCAGUUUUACACUCUACAGAGGUCGUACAUCUUUACCCAUGAGUCAUGAUUUACCCUUUCGCCCGAGGUGAUCAGCCUCUUAACCCACUUCCAAGGAAGGUCGACAGGGAUCACUAUGAAGCCUUUCAAAGGUUUCGUCUAACAAGUUAGGGCCAUUAGAUUCACCCGGCAGGCAGAUAUAGAGCCCCCCUUCCAUGGCACAUAACCCGUAGCCUAUACACACGG